rnacentral:lncRNA from 1 species
GCUAUCCGAAAUCUUUGAAUCCCUUAUUAUGUCUAUGUCGCCUCAUUGAUCAUAUUUAUAUAUGAAUUGCUUUGUAUUCAUACAUUAUAGGAAAAUUGUCACUAUACAGUUAGUAACUGAAUAAUUGAAUUCCUGUCAAUGUUAAGAACAUAUGGAUAAUAGAAUAUGGACAUAGAACCCUAUGAAUGUGUGAAUUUACUGUGGACUAUGAUAAUAGUAAAUUUGGUGACAUCACGACUAGAGAAUUCGUUAGCAUCGAGAGUGGAAUUGUAAAACUAGCAUAAAGAGCUAGUUAGAGUUAAAGUGUGGCAUUGUCAUUCAUUGGACCCUCUAAAUGAGGAUCAGAUCAUACUCACAUUAGUCUAAUGCUCGAGGAAGGUCGCUCCUCCUUGGGCGAUGAGCUUCGGAGUGGUCAUCAAAUGGAUUAGGAGCUAGCAUCUCCCAAGUAGACGGUCCUGUUCGGAUGUAGCUUGCGUCUCCCCGAUAGUAGGGAUUUGGUUGGUGAGUUAUUGUUAACCAAAUGGUUAACCAGCUUGAUUGGGUAAUGAUUAUUAAUAGCAUGCAUACAUCAAUUUCCUAUGUUAUCUACUGUUUCUUUCAGCUUUGUACAUGCAUUGUAGUAGUUACAUGUUAUAGCUGGUUACUAUCUAUUCUUUCUUCUUGUCUAUAUAUGCCCGAAUAGACCUAGUGGGUGAGUCGGCGAGGUUGGCGGCCGAACCCACUGAAAACUAUUAGUAGUUCUCACACCACUAAUCAUGUAGAUCCUAGCGCGAGCGGAGCGGUCGAGGAUCGCGGCAAGAGCCCGGCAUCUUAGCUAGUGAACUCCAGAGUAUAGUUAUACACCCAUUUUGGUUUCAUGUUGUAUAUAUUUGAUGUUAAAGAAACAUGUAAAAGAAUGUAUAAAUGAGCAUGUAAAUAACUAAAUGUUGUAGUUAUUCAUGUUUAUAGUUUGGUUUAAAGUUUUCAAACAUACAGUGAAUGCAUGUUUAGCUAGCUUACUUGCACUCGUUCUUGUUGCUUGCCCUCGUGCAAGCCAUGUAUAUUGAAAUGUUAUCUUGGGAGUUGUUUAUUUUUUUAUACAUGUACUAUGUUGUUGUUGAGCCUUGGGCGGACAAGGGAGGUGCUGUCUGUUCGGCGUCUGUGUACGGGCCCGGAUCGACCAAAUUGGUGAUAGCGGGACGUGACACCCUGGCUCUCUGGAAGGUGAGCAAGGUGACCUUGAGUUGUCGCUGAUCACUAUAGUUAUCUCGGUUUCUGUCGGAGAAUCAUCAGUUUGCUAUUUUUGCAUUGUCGCUCUCAAGGCCUUAUAUAUUUGCUGUAAUCUUGGCCCCGGAGAGCUCCUCGGCUAUUUUUCUUGCCCUAGACAAUGAGCACAGGCUUCGCUACAUUGAGACCUAUCCACUGGUGCCCUUAGUUGGUCUCGGAGACGCGUGGUGUUCUCUAUCGGCCCUAGUGAUUGUGUAUUUUAGCUUAUAUUGUGAUAUAUCUCUUGCUUAGGGGCCUCCUUGGAAUUUUAACAGCAGAGGCUGUUUUGGGCAGCGUGAUGCCACUUGAUGUGACCCUCUGGACUAGUUGUCCGAGCUUCCGAUGCCCUCGCUGAAUCAAAUUUAAUUUUUGAAGCAUUUUCCGACAAAAUCAUCAGCGAAACGCGGUGACCAUUGUGGGCCCCACUUGUUAGUAGUGUUAUCACCCCAGGUUUGUCGUGGAGCCUCAUUGGCUGGUUACAUUCGCUAUCUUGAGUUUCUGAAGACAACGAGUGAGCGACGGAGGGUUUCAAUGCCAAAAACAACAUUUUCGAAAAUUCGGAAUGGCAUUAAGUACAUUGUGGUGUAUUUGUAUUUCUUGGGCUUGUGUUUGUUGUUUGAACAUGAAAGUUGGUGCGUUUCGAUACAGCGGGUGACUAGAUUUGUACUAUGGUUCCUUUCGAAACACUCUGUGGCAAUCGAAAGUGUUUCGGUGGACUUUUUGGAACUCUCGACAGUUCUGAGGUUGUGGGUUUAGUGUUUUGAAGUCGACUUAGGGGAUCUUGACUUGGUGGAUCUUUCGGUCUAGUUGAUGUCCCAACAUGCCUUGAGCAUUAGACGCUGCGACGAUGAUAGGUUGGUGCUUCGAUCCGGAGUUGAUACAGUGGUUUUAGCUUGGUGAUGUUCUUCCCUCACUCUUUGUUGUUGUUUUGCAUACUAUUGAUUAGCAUUUACUACUAGACUUCUGAUUUAUUUACUCUACUUCUACUCAUUCACAUAUUUGUAGUAAAGAGGUGUUUGGUUGUUGCAUGAUCUUUAUCUGAGAGACCUGUUUGGUUGGUGUUGAUUGGUUCGUUGAUCUAGUGAUCUAGUUUGGACAGGUGUUGUUUAUUGACAUACUCUUGGCUAUUUGCCGUCUUGAUUGACUAUUGAGUAUUUCGCGUUGAUCGUCGCAGCUUAGGUAGCAUAUCACGUACACCAAUGGUUUGGUCACCGUGUGGGUGUUCUUUUUCAAAAAAGUGGUCAUUACUUUGACCCGUUGGCCCUUGCAAGGUGCUAGCUGGUGUAAUAUACCGAACUUUUAUAGUCAUGAAGUUUCGAUGGAUGUUAGAAGCUAAUGGAAUUGUUCCAGUGAAGAUCGGGAACGUACGAGUGUUUUCGAUAUGCGUUGGGCGUGGAAACGGAACUCGAAAAGCUAUGAUUGGACUUUGCCCGGAAUCCAGCAAAGCGUGGAUGAAAUAAUGGUCUAAAUGCGCUGAAAAUGUGUUUUGGGCGUCUCGGUGUGAUAUGUGAUAAAUCGGAGGACCCGGGAGCGAAAACGAGCGAAAACGGACCAAAGGCUAAAAUUGCUGAAGUUGCUGAUUUUCGGGUUGUCUGGACCUACGGGGUCCGGACCCUGGCUUCAAGGUCCGAACCUCGAGAGUGAGAAAUGCCCAGUGAAGGCUGAUGGCAGUUUGGUAAUUAAGGGGAGGUUGACUUAUAAAAGGAAGCUUCUCCUUCCUUCUUCUUCUUCUUCCCAGCCAAACACCAACACACACACAUAGUGGUAGAGAGAGAGACUCUAUCUCUAGAUUUUUUCCUUCUCUCUCUAGAUCUCUUUCCCAAAAUUGGAGGCUUGGUGGAGAAGGAGCUUGGGAACGCAUUGGGAGCAACGGUUCGAGUCUUUGUGCACCCGGUGGAGCGGCGUGCUUUCGACUCGGCGUUCGCAUUUUGGUAAGAGUUUAGGAUUUGGUUAAAUCUUUCAUGAAUGAUAUUCUAGUAGUUUCUAGAAUAUUCUAAGUAUGUUACUCCAUAUGUUUUUGGGGUAUAUGAGGGAUAUAUGAAAGCUAGGGCUUGAAAUGGGGUUUUGGGAUUUUUAGGGUUUUGAUCUAAUUGAACCCUAUUAUCCUCUAAUUGAAGGUUAGAGAUGAGCCCUUGAAGACCCUAGGUUGCGGAUUGGCCAGCGUUCGAUGAUCAAUUUCAAGUUCAAGCCGAACCGAACAACGAGUGCCGCGGGAGCCCGAUUGCAAGUGUCGACAAGCAAUCGGAGAGCCUUACGAGGUGGGUUGUGCUCCACCGAAGCGAUUAGGUCGCUUCCAUGCCAAAGUGAAGUGUGUUUCGUUAUCGAUGCAUGUAGUGGUAGUUAAUUGCCAAGUAAAAGAAUGCAUAAGAUAAAGUGACUGCAUGAGCUAAAUGCUAAAUGAAUGUAUAAGAUAUAUGCUAAUAAUGAAUGCUGAUAGAGAUGCUAAUUGUGAAUGAACAUGCAUGAUAAAGAAACUAAUUGUGAUAUAUUGACUACCAUUUCGAUAAGAACAUAGAUAUGUGCAAGAGAUGCUAGAGAAUACAUGCAUGUUGAUAUCUUGUGAACAUAUGCUAGAUUCAUAUGAAGGUUGAACUUGAGUCGACGAACUCUAAGUAUAGUAGAGAACUCGACAAGUGUGGUGUCACAACCCGCGACCACCCGCCUAUUUGGCCGAGUCGCGACGCCGCCGACAAACCGCCGAACGGACAGGGUUUCCCCUGUACACGGACAAAGUCUCCCCUGUACAUUCAAGGCGUCGCAACCUGUACAAUACAAAGAGUUCCAACCAGGAACAGUAUUCAAGCAAGGAUUACAUAAGGAAGUAUCGAAAACAUAAACACCUAGAUCACAUUCAUUCAUUUUUACAUCACAUUUUUCUUUUUUAUAUUUAACUUCCAAAUUACAAUCUAGAUAUUACAAUUUACACAACUUGCUUCUUUUCAUUCUUCUCAUCCCUAAGCAAAGCCGACUCAGGGUAUUGCUAUCUCUGGUCUCGGUGGUAGGGCGCUAACUACGGAGCUACGCCCUCGCCUUGCGCCACCGCGCCGCUCACGUGCGACCUGUAACACCCCAAAACAACGUGGGGUGAGAACCAACUCCAUGGUUCCCAGUGGGUACAGCGACCCAAGGGAAAAGCUCGAUCAAUAUGUCCAAGGGAGGCGCUGCAACAUGUUAGUCCAAUAGAUAUCCACAAAUAAUAUUUAUGCAAAUAUUAAAUACAUGUUCAUGCCUCACAAAUGCAAUAUGUAAAUCAUGCAAGUAGAUUUAUUGAUUCUACUCUCUAUUAUUUACCAUUCUUUAUAUUAUUAGCAAUCCUUUAUUACUUAGUCAUUCUUUACUUUUAGUCAUUCUUUAUUCUUAACCACACGAUGGUCCUUUGCCAAUGCUCUUCUAAGGUCACUCUUACCUUAGCCAACUAUGCCAAUUAUCAUGAUCAAGACCCAAUCCUCUCGGCUAACCCGUAGGUUUCGCCUCAAAUCUCUGCUAUCGGGGAGAUACCCGCUACAACCCGACGGGACCGUUCUUUGGGAAGAUACUCGCUACAACCUAGUGAACCAACACUUACCAACCCAAAUCCCUACUAUCGGGGAGAAUUCCGCUACAACCCGACGGGACCGUACUCUGAGGAGAUACCAGCUACAAUCCAGUGAACCAAAACUACCAACCCAAAUCCCUACUAUCGGGGAGAUACCCGCUACAACCCGACGGGACCGUCCUCUGGGGAGAUACCCGCUACAACCCAGUGAUGACAACUUCGGAGCUCAUCGCCCGAGAGGGAGCUACCACCCUCGAGCAAGGACUAACAGGUGAGUAUGAUCUAUGAUCAAAUCCAUAAUCUUGAGGAUGUCAAGUUCAAUCCAUUCCUUAACUAUAAGGAUGCCAUGUCACAUACGUCAUUUUCUUGCAUUCUUUACUUUCAUGAUGCCACACACACAAAGUGUUUUUUUAACUCUUAUUAUGCCUUCAUUGUCUUUUUAAUGCCAUACACACACUAAGGCUGCGUUUGGUUCAGGUAUAUGUAAGAACUGCUUGUUCCAGGGAUAGGUACAAGUUCAGGUAUAAGCAGGAACUAGACCAAUUUUACGUUUGGAUGAAAAUUGAGUUGUUCCUAGGAAUAAGAUAAAUAGCGUUUGGAUGGUUAAAUUGGAACAAAAGGAAUAAAAGUUAUAAUUUGAAAUUAACAUUAUAUUAUCUAAUNUCCUUUGCCAAUGCUCUUCUACGGUCACGCUUACCUUAGCCAACUAUGCCAAUUAUCAUGAUCAAGACCCAAUCCUCUCGGCUAACCCGUAGGUUUCGCCUCAAAUCCCUGCUAUCGGGGAGAUACCCGCUACAACCCGACGGGACCGUACUCUGGGGAGAUAUCCGCUACAACCCAGUGAACCAAAACUCACCAACCCAAAUCCCUACUAUCGAGGAGAUACCCGGUACAACCCAACGGGACCGUCCUCUGGGGAGAUACCCGCUACAACCCAAUGAUGACAACUCCGGAGCUCAUCGCCCGAGGGGGAGCUACCACCCUCGAGCAAGGACUAACAGGUGAGUAUGAUCCAUGAUCAAAUCCAUAAUCUUGAGGAUGUCAAGUUUAAUCCAUUCCUUAACUAUAAGGAUGCCAUGUCACAUACGUCAUUUUCUUGCAUUCUUCACUUUCAUGAUGCCACACACACUAAGUGUUUUUUAAACUCUUAUUAUGCCUUCAUUGUCUUUUUAAUGCCAUACACACACUAAGUGUUCGUACUUUCCAAUGUCAAGUUCUUUACUCUAUUUGAAUUAUCGUCCCAAAUGCACAUUCAUAUGAAUCUACCAUAUUCUCACAUUAUGUCAACAUACAAGUGUUCUUCAACAUUUCCUACACAUGUUUGCAUUCUUAUCAAAAUAGUAAUCAUUAUACAUUUGGCACAUAACUCAUACAUUCUUUAUUAGUAUAUAUCUAUGCAUUCAUUUCUAAAACAUACAUUGUCAUUCAAGAUAGUCAGUACUUAGCAUCUCAUGCUUUCUUUAACCUCUACCAUAUGCAUUCUUAAUUAACAUAAAUCUCAUUAUUUAUUUCAUUUCAUUGGUAGGUAAUCUCAACUACAUAAUAUGUUUCAAGCAUUCAUAUUAUCAUGUAAGCUUACCAAUAAAACUAUAUGCAUCAAUGAUAAACAUUUAUCUUAGACAUACAGGCGACCUAGUCGCUUCGGUAAACACAACCCACCUGUUAUCGCAUUCCGAUUGCUUGUCGACACUUGCAAUCGGCCUCCCGCGGCACCCGUAACCCGGUUCGGCCCGGACUCUCGCGCGACAACCCGAACGGCCUCCAAUCCACGAUCCGGAAAUUAAAGGUCUUCGGUUAUGCGCCACGGUGUUUCAAAUCCGUUUUCAUGAUUUUACGACGUCGCCUCGGCCCUCCCGGCGGAAACGAAGCCUAACGUCCGUUUCUUUAAUAACUUCGCAACGGCUCGACGGAUUGCCGAAUUGACUUCCCCAACGCGUUCGUUUACCUAGCAAUUAGGUUUACGGAUGGUCAAAUGAGAUCAAACCCUACAAUUUUACAAAACUCCAUUUUGGAGCCCUAGGUUACAACUAUGCAAGAAAUCAUCAUUUUGGAACCUGAUUCAAGCAUUAAUCUUCUAAUUAGCAUCUAAGAAUGCUACUAAAUCCAUCUUUAGAGCUUAAAUGCAAAACCCUAGAGUUCUACCAUUAUAAACCUAGCCUCUACACAUGCUUCAAUUAACCCAAAUUAAAUGGAUUUAACAUGCUAAUCAACCCAUUAGAGGCUAUUAGAACACUAGGAAUUAAGGAUUAAGCCAAAUCCCAAGAGCUUACCCAAAUGUGAACACUGCGACGAAAACAAGCCGCUCCAACGGGCGCACGAAAGCUCGAUCCGUCGCCUCCAACGCGUUCGCAAGCUCGUUCUCUGCCAAUGCCGCGAAUUUGGGAGAGGGAUCUAGAGAGAUGAGAGAGAUAUUUAGAGAGAAGUGGAGCUUUCUCUCUCCCUCACCAUGGUCGCAUGGUGCUUGGAUGGUGGCCGGCUGUGUGGAGAAGAAAAGAAGCCAAUGCUUCUUAUAAUUACACCCCAAAUACUAUUCACAUUCAGGCUGUUUAGCAGUUAGGUCCCGACGGAGCCCUUCUGAUUGUCCGUUUGAGCUCAAAUUUGACAGGCAUGUUCGGUUUUACUUAACUUAACAAAGUAGUGAUCACUCUUCCAGUUUCGACCCCGUUUGGUUACCGAAAGCUGUACCGAAUUGUAAUCUUUAACAGAUAGCUGUGGGAUUUUAUUUUCUACCUUCCGGGUGUCAGAAUGGCAUGAAACUUUAAACCUAGCCUCAUAAAAAUAAUUCUGACAUCUCCGCCAAUUUUUAUAAUUUUCUGAGACUGCGCAUUUUCUGCUAAUUUAUCUGUCCCGUUUCCAACAGAAAAUUCUAAAUCUUCUGUUUUAAUUCCGAUUUCGGCACAAGUCACUUAUGACUUAUGUGUUACUUCUCUAAAUCCAAUAAAAAUAAUUUUUCACACUAUUUUUAUUUAUUUUUUUAUUUUAAUACCAAAAUCUGGUAUGUUACAUUCUCCACCUCUUAAAAAGAACUUCGUCCGCGAAAUUCAAACCACGCCUCAAUUUAACUCCUUGAGCAAUUGAGGAUACCAACUCAUUCUCACACUCCAGAGCGGCUUUAUACCAUCGUGGUUCCCGAAGCGUCUCAUACUGAAGGACGUCGGUUCAAUCCUCGACACAUUUGCAAAGUGUGAUACAAAAAUGCAUCACGGGUCUUGCAAGUCACAGUGGCAGCGCAAGUUGGUGCUCGACGACUCUACGCGCUCCCACGCCACUCGCCAUUCGUUAUGCAAAGAACUCUUCUUUGCAUUCAUCUUUUCUUUAGGAAUUACAUGCCGACUCGAUUACCGACAUUGCUUAGAAGCAAUAUCACCGGUGCAUCGCUUCACUGUGAGAGCUCCAAUCUCAACCGAAUCUUGCUCUACUACGAGAUGGCACACUCCGGCACAUCUCAAUCCUCAAGAGAGCUUUACGUCAUUUCUCGCGUGGCUAUCCAAUACUCAAGUGUCUCAAUGAGACCACUUACUUUCUGUUUUCAUUGCCAUGACCAACCAAUUCGUUCUUACAACGAAUUAAUACGAGCCCUCUGUUCGCUAAUACAAGCCAAACUCAUCCACAGAGUUAUCGGCCAUAACGCUUACUUUGGUUUUCAUAAGUGGACCGAAGGCCACCGAUUCUACGUAGGCCUACCGCCUAUCCCGUCUCCAUACCCGUACCGUCUCUCGCUCUCAAGCGCAGACCCAAUCAUAAUCGGGCGAAAUUCUCAUUUAGGAAUUCGCACACACUCCAAUCAGGAGCAACCAGGAGCCCAAACCACUAUAAAUCCUCGGGUUGGGUCACAACCGAACUCUCGGUAUAUCCUCGAUCUCAAAAUCCAACACGUGGCACUCCACGCUCCCGGGUCUAAGCUCGGACUACCGCCCUGACCAAAACUCCGCCCUACCAGUAGGUACCGGGCCGCUGUCUCUCACAGCUGACUGCGCCUACCCGAAGGGCCCAGGCUCCACAGUCCACCAGUGGUCCAGGCACGGGUCGUCCCCAAGCAUUACCCGUCGUCGUCGUCCUACACGACAUACUCUAUCGAGUCACGCGUACCACUCUCGGCUCCUAAGCACCUAGUGCGAGCCACCAACCCUACAAGUGAUCCAUGGCCCGCUUCACACUUGGCAAUGCUAAAGUGCUAUUGCCAACACACUCACUCGGUUGAAUCAAUCCGCACUCUAUGAGUACCUAUACUCGAACGUCAUACGCCUCUAUAGCGCUUCACACUAAGUCAAGCAUCAGGCAACCAUGCCUAUGCACGCUGAUCGCACGAGCACUACUCACCCACCUGAAUUCGAGGUACCACUAGGCCUCACAUGCCCGUAUUCGGCAACUAAUCGGCCAUUCUCUCAACAGUGAUCUCACUUUCACUGUUCGAUCUACCGGAACGAUAUCUUUACUACUCGGGCUACUUGGGUAUUCUCAAGCAUCUUGGCUCAACUCUCGCAAUCUCCUAUCCAUUGCCUUGAGAGUCGGUCAACCAUCUCCACAUUUACCCCGAGUCUCAUCAUUCGGUUAUCACUAGCAACUUGCUAGUGCCAUCUAGCUCUUUACUUGCACCGGUAGGUGCUACACCUUCACCGCAUAAGCAUACUCGGGCAUUUACACUUACCCGUCCACUUGGUCCCUACUACUCUGACGUAUCAACGGUAGUAAGUGACCGCAUGAUAAAUGCAUGCAAGGUUCCUCGACCAGGGUCGCGUACUCAUGGCCACUCAGUGCCCACCGCGAACCCUCCGGUCGCCACAUUCUCAUCACUCACUCUCCAGACCGUGCUGUAGGUGACGUGCCCACAAGCUGUCUCGGAGAAGAAGAGGCCAUCGCCAACGUCAAGGCUUGGCUCACGCCCACACGAAUGCAUAUCUCAUCACGCAGCACACCCCGCCGCGCCUAGUGAGAACUCUUGCAGUCCCGUAUCUUGGAGAAGUUAACGAAGACACCUCCAAGGUUCGGGAUUGCAAUUGCACUCGAGAAUGUACACUGCCCAAAUUGGGCAAAUCUCGCGGUGGGGGACCGGUCUCUCCGACCUAAGACCGGUCUCCGAGAGCUCCACCCGCGGACUGCGCAGCUUGCGCAUGAUGCAACCGGUCUCACCUGGUGCAACCGGUCUCGAGAGACCGGUCUUUCCCUGUUGGGACCGGUCUCCGAGAGCUGGUCUUCUAGGACUUAGCCGAUUUUCCACUCUGCUCGAUGCCUACGCACACGGAGACCGGUCUCUACCUCUUGGGACCGGUCUCCGAGAGCUAAAAACCUGCAGUUUGGCAGAUUUUGAUUCCCACGCUCUCGAAGAUACCCAAAUAAUGCACUUUUGCAUUAUUUGACGCCUUCGGCCUUUCCGAAACGUACCAACCUCGCACUCUGGUCAAUUUGACCAAGGUUCGAUAUUUAUUUACCGUGUUUUCGGUACGUUACAUUCUCUCCUUCUACAAGGAGUUUCGUUCUCAUUACCCCGCACUAUGUCUGGGAUGCAACUUCUGACACGGGAGAAUUUUCGCUCGUAUUCCCUCACGGCGCGGUCUACCUGCCGCAGCUUCGAGAACCUUUCCUGAAGCUUUUUUUUCCAUCAUCAGAUGAGUAAGCGAAGAAUACUUAUUCCCGAAACUCAUUCCAAACCAUAGGAAGGAGACCAGGCAGUCGAUCCCACUCGACGCUUGUCCACCACACCUUCGCCGACUGUUUGCACGCAACGCAGGGCUAGGUGUACCUUGGCCCACUUAACAGUGCACAGAUCCCCUAAAGGGAGUCUCCAUGAAGUCGAUCCACAACUCCACGAUCAACGGAUUUGCGUCCUCUUGGCAGCCAUCUGCUGACACUACACUAAUUUGGCUCAUUACCCCGCCACUCACACGAGAGUGGCCAACGGCUCGCGAAGUCCCAAGUCUCCGCUUGUUUCGGAUUGCUUAGGGACAACUUGUCCCAUCCCGCGUCGAUCUAAACGAAGAUCGCCUACGCGGCGCUAUCGCUUCCUAAAACGCGGCAACUUCAUUAAUCCUCGACCUUCUAGGUCGAACACGAGACACUUAAUACCGACUCAAAUAGGGCGAAAGUCACGCAAGGGCGCCUAUUCUCAUCACUCGGUUUCAUGUUGUCGUACGCCAACAUGAACAACCUUGGCUGAGAAUAAACCACACCUCGAGUCUACCUCUAAUAUCCGUCUUAGAGGUUUACAACACAACCCAAUCCAUUAUCCUUUCGCCACAAGUCAUAAGUCCUCGUCUCUCACGAGCCUUAUUCUCCUAUGGUUUGCUAUCCUAGGGUCUCUGUCACGCCCGGGUACCAGCGGAAGCAUAUCCGGUCGCGCGCACAGACCGCCGUGUACACCACAACUCAAGUAUACACAAGGCGUCUACAAACCACAUAGUAAAAGCAUAUAAUUCUAACUAGGUAAUCAGAGCAAGACUUAUAAGUUUAAACUUAUACAAUCCAAACCUUAAAACAGGAAAUAAGAACAAAGUACCGUCUACAAAAACUUAAUAUACAUUUCUGUACUACACUAUAUAAACUGCUGGAGGUGAUCUAGUACACGUCCAAAAAGGCUCUAGCUAGUCGCUGACCCAUCGCCAGAAACCCUAGCCUUUCCCGCUGUGGAAGGCUCUGUAAAAACAACAACAAAGAGGGCGUGAGAACUAUUAAACAAUAGUUCCCAGUGGGUAAGCCGCCGAGAGUGGCGAAGUACACCACUAGGUCAACUGUGGCAUGAGUAGAUAGCAAUAAAUAAGCGGGUAAAUGCAGAUAAUUAUGCAACAGAUAUGGAAGUAAACUACUCAUGCUAUUUGCUCAACCAUAAAUAAAUAACAAUAGAUUGCAGGUAUCAGUUAUCAUGAUAGAUUCUAUCAAUCAUAUUACUUGACAAUUUAACCAAACAUAUAUCAGAAUGUAUGCAAGAUAAUUCACUUUACUAAAAUUACAGAUGAUAUCAUGUAAUUACCUUGUUCCAUAGCAAGAAAGAGACAUAAUGUCAUUCAUUAUGUUGCUAACCAAUCAUGAUGUCAACUUCUAGGUUAUUCAUCGCUAGGCUCACUUUAGAUGUCAACUUUCUAGUAUGUUCAUCAAUAAGUUCACUUAACCAAAGACAUAAAGUAACUGUACUACUAUGUCCAGCUAAGGUUAAAGUACUUGACAUAACCCAAUUUCCAACAGACUUACACAAGGUAAGUUCAAGCCGCGCCGUGCCUAAUGGCCCCGUGGUAGUCAACAUCCCCACUCGAGGAAUGAGCCUCCCCCACGGCAUUCCAUUUCGGCGCUCACUUUGUACAUUUGCGAGCAUCUGUCGCUAAGCUGUUCGGGAGUGCUGGCUUGGGAGGGAGCGACCCCGCAAGCGUGUGCGAACGCGCACAAUGGUAUGCAAACCGUAGUCCAUAGUACCAAUCUCACAACAGCAUCAUGUCCCUGACAUGGUGUCUCAACUCGAGCCACUCCGGAACGCGGGGCUUGGGGGGGCGCGACCCCCGCAAGCAUGUACGAAAGAGCAUAAUGGCAUGCUAGCUAUAGUCCAGGGUACAAAUAUCUCAACGACAUCAUGUCUCUGACAUGGAAUCUCAACUCGACCCAAGGUCGGCACUGUAGUACCCAAUCAUAAGUCACUAUCAACAACUUGUUGAUAUGAUUCUACCAAUAACUAGUAUAACUUGACAAGUUAAGGCUUUACAUCACACUCGUGACUCUAUCAGGCUAUACCUGGUCAGUGAUUCACAACCUCUCACUACUCCUUACACAUAAGGAAAGUGGUUUGCUAAUGUUCUGUUCAAAGACUCAUGGCACAUAUCCUGUAGUUCAAUAUAAAUCUCUACUUGACUAUACAAGUAUGUUAUCAUAUCCAAAUCUAGUUAUCUACUAGAUUAUAUUCAGUUGUAUAACAUUCAAGUUAUGCCAUCUUAUGAGGUUCUAGUUACUUACUUGAACAUAUAUCAUAAUACAAGUCUAUCAUGUGAAAGCAUGAGCGAUAACUACUCUUCACGUGAUCUCUAUGCCAUUCCUUCUACAAUUAGAAAUGCAUAUGCAAUCAAAGGUCUUUACCUGAUCUAUCAGAGUAUAGCAAUCAUACUUGCUAUAUAACAGUGCAUAGCCCAAUCCUAAAUACAUCAAUCUAACACUGCAUAUGCAAGCUACUAGUAUCAUGAACACGUAGUACUUUAACAACAUGUAACCAUAUAGAGUGAACAAGUCACGAAUCUUUCAUUACUGUUUAUCAUAUCCGAUAUGAUCUACACAUCAAUGCAUGUCGCAUGAACUAUACAUAUAUGCACAUGAAUAAGGAAUAACUUCAACUCAGAUGUCAAAGGAGACAUAGAGAAAAUUCACCCAUUUCGGGAAGGUCCGACCCACCUAUCCCCAAGCUCAAUCCAGCCAAUAGAAGUCCCGAACUCAGCUCAGCGGAGCCCCAACUCUGCUGAAAACAAAACACGGAAGGCGCAUCAAACUACGACCGAAAUGUCCAAUUUCGGCACACAUUGUACGUAGUACAAAGUAAUAACUUAAAUUCCUGUUUGGGCUCAGUUCAAUACCUCAAGUUUAGAAGCCAAAAGCUCUCACAUCACAGCCGACGAUAAUCCGAAGGUCAAUCGCAAGCUCGCUGCGAACAAUCGCCACAACGGCAUCAAUAUAGUCGAAUUCUUGCAAUUUCAGUUUUCUAACUGAAAUCCUUGCUUACCUCAGGUUAGAGUACCUUCUAAACCAGCCUCCUAGGUCACCAAAAUUGCCUAAUAAAUCGGAAACCUGCUGUGAACAAACAAGUCCAAACUGCAUAAAGUUACACAAUUAAUCCUCGUUUGGUUCCGAAAUCGAGUCAAUAGUCAACUAAUUACCUUGGCUAAGCCUCAAGCCAGCUUUUCCCUGAUUUAGACAGAGGAAUAAUAGCAAAAUAACUCCUCUUUAGCUGUUGGAAUUGCCCUCUAACUCAGCUGGGAGCAACAAGACCAAAACCACUCAAAAUCCGACACUAAACGUCCAAUUAGAGGAGGUUUAAGCUAUAUACCUUUCAACAGCUGCAACUCAGCUCUUUCUGGGGUUAAGAUCCCAGAAAAGUCAAUAAAUAUCCUCCUCCCCACGUUCUAAAAGCUUUCCUUGACUCUCCGAACCAGCGAGCAACGAGUGCGGCGCGAAAACGGCGCGAAUCGGCGGCUUUUCUCUAGAGAGAGAAAAACCCUAGAGAGAGAGAAAGAGAGAAGGUGAAAGAAGCUUCUCUGAACUCAAGCNCUUGUGAACGUUGACAUUGAUUUGUUCGAUAUUUACACUCUCGGGGCAAAAUUGAACAAUAUAAUUAAGUUUUACACUUUGUUUGAUUGAAUAAGAAAAAGAACUCGUUGCAAAGUUAUAAUGUUAGGUCGUAACCGAGUAGUCUAAUAUUUUUCCGGUUUUGGUUCUUGUGAAUGCGAACAUCGUUUCGUUCCACUAUUACACUCACGGGGCAUAAUAGAACAAAAUAAUUAGCUUUUACUUUUUGUUCGAUUGAAUAAGAAAAAGCACUCGUUGCAAAGUUAUACUGUCACGACCCGCGACCACUCGCCAAUUUGGCCGGGUCGCGGCGCCGCCGACAGACCGCCGAACGGACAGGGUUUCUCCUGUACACGGACAGAGUCUCCUCUGUACAUUCAAGGAGUCGCAACCUGUACAAUACAAAGAGUUCCAACCAGGAACAGUAUUCAAGCAAGGAUUGCAUAAGGGAGUAUCGAAAACAUAAACACCUAGAUCACAUUCAUUCAUUUUUACAUCACAUUUUCCUUUUUUACAUUUAACUUUCAAAUUACAAUCUAGAUAUUACAAUUUAUACAACUUGCUUCUUUUCGUUCUUUUCAUCCCUAAGUGAAGCCGACUCAGGGUACCGCUAUCUCUGGUCUCGGUGGUAGGGCGUUAACUAUGGAGCUACGCCCUCGCCUCGCGCCGCCGCGCCGCUCACGUGUGAACCUGUAGCACCCCAAAACAACGUGGGGUGAGAACUAUAUAAAUAUAGUUCCCAGUGGGUACGGCCACCCAAGGAAAAAGCUCGAUUAAUAUGUCCAAGGGAGGCGCUGCAACAUGUUAGUCCAAUAGAUAUCCACAAAUAAUAUUUAUGCAAAUAUUAAAUACAUGUUCAUGCCUCACAAAUGCAAUAUGUAAAUCAUGCAAGUAGAUUUAUUGAUUCUACUCUCUAUUAUUUACCAUUCUUUAUAUUAUUAGCAAUCCUUUAUUACUUAGUCAUUCUUUACUUUUAGUCAUUCUUUAUUCUUAACCACACGAUGGUCCUUUGCCAAUGCUCUUCUAAGGUCACUCUUACCUUAGCCAACUAUGCCAAUUAUCAUGAUCAAGACCCAAUCCUCUCGGCUAACCCGUAGGUUUCGCCUCAAAUCUCUGCUAUCGGGGAGAUACCCGCUACAACCCGACGGGACCGUACUCUGAGGAGAUACCAGCUACAAUCCAGUGAACCAAAACUACCAACCCAAAUCCCUACUAUCGGGGAGAUACCCGCUACAACCCGACGGGACCGUCCUCUGGGGAGAUACCCGCUACAACCCAGUGAUGACAACUUCGGAGCUCAUCGCCCGAGAGGGAGCUACCACCCUCGAGCAAGGACUAACAGGUGAGUAUGAUCUAUGAUCAAAUCCAUAAUCUUGAGGAUGUCAAGUUCAAUCCAUUCCUUAACUAUAAGGAUGCCAUGUCACAUACGUCAUUUUCUUGCAUUCUUUACUUUCAUGAUGCCACACACACAAAGUGUUUUUUUAACUCUUAUUAUGCCUUCAUUGUCUUUUUAAUGCCAUACACACACUAAGGCUGCGUUUGGUUCAGGUAUAUGUAAGAACUGCUUGUUCCAGGGAUAGGUACAAGUUCAGGUAUAAGCAGGAACUAGACCAAUUUUACGUUUGGAUGAAAAUUGAGUUGUUCCUAGGAAUAAGAUAAAUAGCGUUUGGAUGGUUAAAUUGGAACAAAAGGAAUAAAAGUUAUAAUUUGAAAUUAACAUUAUAUUAUCUAAUUAAUUAAUAUCAAAAUAUUACUUAAAAAUAAAUAAUAAAUAAAUUAUUAAUAAAUAAUUAUAAAUAAUAAUAAUUAUUAAUUAUUAAUUAUUAAUUAUUAUCAUUAAUUAAUUAUUAUUAAUUAUUUAUAAUUAUUUAUAAGUAAUAAAUUAAUUAAUUAUUAAUAAAUUAUUAAUAAUUAUUACUUAAUUAAUUAAUUAUUAAUAACUAUUAAUAAUUAUUUAUAAGUAAUAAAUUAAUUAAAAAUAAUUAUCUAAUUAUUAAUAAUUAAUUAUAAAUCAUUAUUAAUAAAUAAUAAUAAUUAUUUAAUUAUUAAUUAUUAAUAAUAAAUUACUAAUAAUAUCGAUUAUCUAAUUAAUAAGAAUAAUUAUUUUAUUAUUAAUUAUUAAUUAAAUAAUAAUAUUAAUAAUUAAUUAUAAGUAAUAAAUUAAUUAAUAAUAAUUAUCUAAUUAUUAAUAAUUAAUUAUAAAUAAUAAAUUAAUAAUAAUAUCGAUUAUCUAUUUCUUAAGAAUAAUAAUUAUUAAUAAUUAUUAUUUAAUUAAUAAUUAUUAAUAAAUAAUAAUUAUUAAAUUAAUAAUUAUUAUUAUCUAAUUAUAAAUAAUUAAUUAUAAUUAAUUAUUUGUUUAUUUAUUUUAUUAUUUAAGCAAUAGAUAAUAAUUCAAAUAUAUUAAUUAGAUUAAUUAAUAAUUUACUAUCAUUAAAAUUUAAAUUUAUAUUUAAUUAACCUUGUUCUCAUUCGGGAACAAGCCUGUUCCAGAAAAAAGGUGGAACAGCAGUUCCAGCUAGUUCUAGUCUUAUACCAGCUAGUUCCAGAAACCCAGGAACUACUGUUCUCGGUUACCAAACGCUGCGUUUGGGAACAAAGGGGGGAACAAGGGCUUAUUCUCCCUCUUGUUCCCGAACCAAACACUAUAAGUGUUCGUACUUUCCAAUGUCAAGUUCUUUACUCUAUUUAAAUUAUCGUCCCAAAUGCACAUUCAUAUGAAUCUACCAUAUUCUCACAUUAUGUCAACAUACAAGUGUUCUUCAACAUUUCCUACACAUGUUUGCAUUCUUAUCAAAAUAGUAAUCAUUAUACAUUUGGCACAUAACUCAUACAUUCUUUAUUAGUAUAUAUCUAUACAUUCAUUUCUAAAACAUACAUUGUCAUUCAAGAUAGUCAGUACUUAGCAUCUCAUGCUUUUUUUAACCUCUACCAUAUGCAUUCUUAAUUAACAUAAAUCUCAUUAUUCAUUUCAUUUCAUUGGUAGGUAAUCUCAACUACAUAAUAUGUUUCAAGCAUUCAUAUUAUCAUGUAAGCCUACCAAUACAACUAUAUGCAUCAAUGAUAAACAUUUAUCUUAGACAUACAGGCAACCUAGUCGCUUCGGUAAACACAACCCACCUGUUAUCGCAUUCCGAUUGCUUGUCGACACUUGCAAUCGGCCUCCCGCGGCACCCGUAACCCGGUUCGGCCCGGACUCUCGCGCGACAACCCGAACGGCCUCCAAUCCACGAUCCGGAAAUUAAAGGUCUUCGGUUAUGCGCCACGGUGUUUCAAAUCCGUUUUCAUGAUUUUACGACGUCGCCUCGGCCCUCCCGGCGGAAACGAAGCCUAACGUCCGUUUCUUUAAUAACUUCGCAACGGCUCGACGGACUGCCGAAUCGACUUCCCCAACGCGUUCGUUUACCUAGCAAUUAGGUUUACGGAUGGUCAAAUGAGAUCAAACCCUACAAUUUUACAAAACUCCAUUUUGGAGCCCUAGGUUACAACUAUGCAAGAAAUCAUCAUUUUGGAACCUGAUUCAAGCAUUAAUCUUCUAAUUAGCAUCUAAGAAUGCUACUAAAUCCAUCUUUAGAGCUUAAAUGCAAAACCCUAGAGUUCUACCAUUAUAAACCUAGCCUCUACACAUGCUUCAAUUAACCCAAAUUAAAUGAAUUUAACAUGCUAAUCAACCCAUUAGAGGCUAUUAGAACACUAGGAAUUAAGGAUUAAGCCAAAUCCCAAGAGCUUACCCAAAUGUGAACACUGCGACGAAAACAAGCCGCUCCAACGGGCGCACGAAAGCUCGAUCCAUCGCCUCCAACGCGUUCGCAAGCUCGUUCUCUGCCAAUGCCGCGAAUUUGGGAGAGGGAUCUAGAGAGAUGAGAGAGAUAUUUAGAGAGAAGUGGAGCUUUCUCUCUCCCUCACCAUGGUCGCAUGGUGCUUGGAUGGUGGCCGGCUGUGUGGAGAAGAAAAGAAGCCAAUGCUUCUUAUAAUUACACCCCAAACACUAUUCACAUUCAGGCUGUUUAGCAGUUAGGUCCCGACAGAGCCCUUCUGAUUGUCCGUUUGAGCUCAAAUUUGACAGACAUGUUUGGUUUUACUUAACUUAACAAAGUAGCGAUCACUCUUCCAGUUUCGACCUUGUUUGGUCACCGAAAGCUGUACUGAACUGUAAUCUUUAAUAGAUAGCUGUGGGAUUUUAUUUUCCACCUUCCGGGUGUCAGAAUGGCAUGAAACUUUAAAUUUAGCCUCAUAAAAAUAAUUCUGACAUCUCCGCCAAUUUUCAUAAUUUUCUGAGACUGCACAUUUUCUGCUAAUUUAUCUGUCCUGUUUCCAAUAGAAAAUUUUAAAUUUUCUAUUUUAAGGCACAAGUCACUUAUGACUUAUGUUUUACUUCUCUAAAUCCAAUAAAAAUAGUUUUUCACACUAUUUUUAUUUAUUUUUUUUAUUUUAAUACCAAAAUCUGGUAUGUUACAUGUGGCAUGUAAAGAAUCCUAAGUGUGGAUAACUAGGAUAACAAGAAUCAUGAGUGGCAUUGAAUCUAGUGUCAUUGAACAUAGGUGAAUCAUGAGUGGCAUUAAACCUAGUGUUAUUGAACAUAGGUUGAGAAUUGAACCUAGAGUCGAGUGGACCUAGGAUGGAAAGGACAUUGGACCUAGUGUUGAGUAAACCUAGGUUAUGAGUUGUUAUGGAUCAUGGCAGUAGAGUGACCACUAGGAUAUGUAUAGCCAAACCUAAAGACGGUGAUGACAUAGGGUAAAACCAACCCUUGAGAUAUGAAAGUGUAAUAUACCGGAUUUUUUUUAAUAUAAAAGUAGAUGUAAAUAAAAAUAGUGUAAAAUACUAUUUUUAUUGGAUUUAGAGAAGUAAAAUAUAAGUCGAAAAUGACUUGUGCUGAAAUCGGAACUAAAACAGAAGAUUUAGAAUUUUCUGUGAGAAACGGGUCUGAUAUUUUAGCAGAAAAUGUACAGUGUCAGAAAAUUAUGAAAACUGGAGAAUAUAUCAGAAUUACUUUUAUGAGGCUACAUUUAAAGUUUCAUGUCAUUAUGACACCCGGAAGGUGAAAAAUAAAAUCCGAUUGUUAUCUGCUAGAGAUUACAGUUCGGUGAGCUUUCGGUGAUAAAAAAUGGUCCAAAUUUAAAUUUUAAGAUAUUUUUUUAUCCUUAUUAAUGUUAAUCGAGCCUGAUUGCCAAAUUUGAGCGUAAACGGAGGCUCCGGCGAUAGGUUUCAGAUUCUGAAUUGGGAACCGUAUUAUAGAAAGAAAUUUCGACUUUUGUGGAGGGGUAAGUUGUAAUUUUUUUCUGAUCUUAUCUACAACCUAGCCCUCCACUAGCUGCUUGCGUACAGGGAGGUAUUUCUCUCCUUCUAUCUCUUUCUUUUGUCUCUUUCUCUCUCUCUCUCUCUCUCUAAUCGUGUGAAGUAGAAUGAUGGAGAUGUUGGUGAAGUAGUGUGUGGAGCUAAGAAGGAUUUCAGCAGCAGGUUAUUUUGGUGGAGUAGAGAAAUUUGAGGUAAGUUGUGUUAAAGAUAUGCCUUCUUUUUUGGUUUGGUUCAUACACCGGAUUUAUGGAAAAAUAAAAAGGAUCUCAUAAGGAUUUAUUUUUGGUGGAUCCUAAUUUAAAUUGGAAUCCUAGAUAGACUAGGAUUGGUUUCCAUAUAAUACUCUAUAUUCAAUAAUCAUAUUGAAUUAGAGUAGGAUUGAGCCAAAUCCCUCUCUAUAUAUACAUGCAUAUGCAUGUACGGCUUGGUGAGGCGUGUGGUUAAAUUAAUUAGCAUUCACAGUCCGGCUAAUUAAUACACGGUGUCUCCUGUGGCCAUACGGGCGGAAGAGGCUGAGGAAGAGGCUUAAUUAAUUAGCCAUCGUGGACCGUACGGCUUCGGGUGCAUAGAAGCAAAUUAAUUAGCAUAAGGUGUAUUGGCUAAUUAAUUAACAUAGCACCAUCCGUACGGCAUAAGAAGGCUGCACCUUUGCAUGCGACGUCGGAUCGGAGUCGGCAGCAGGAGCGACGGUUCUCGACCAAUUGCCUGAGCGGUUCGGAUUCUUCGAAGCAACGGCAUAAAGGAAUUUGGUUAGAGUUUCUAUACUUCUCUAAUUUUGGUCUUCUCGGUUUUACGAAAAGCAUUUUCUGGUAUUUUCUUGGAGUUUUCGUUGGAACAAGAAAAUGUGGAAUUCACUAUAAGGUUCUUGGUUUUUUUAUCCGAAGAAGACAUAAGGUGUAAGCUUGUACUUCUAUUUCUUCAUAUAGUGGAAUACAUCUCUCUCGCUCUUCCCGUGGACGUAGGCAAUUGCCGAACCACGUAAAUCUUGGUUUCUUCUUUCUGCAUUUAUUUCUUUUACCGUUCGGUCGAUUUUCUCUAUUUUUCGUGCAUCUUUGUUGGUAGCACAUGACGGACGAUCCAUCCGGUUCCCAACAAGUUGAUGAUGCCUUUUUGGUUAGAGAUUAUCUUAAUUACCUUAGAAAGAGAUUAAGCCUUGGUUUCUUAGGUGCUAGAAGUGUAGCUGCCAUAGAAACCUAAGGAAGAAGCUUUGAAUGGAGUUGAAAGAUUGGAGGAAUUAAAGUUCUCGGCUGAGAGGAAAGUUCUUUGAGCAGAAAAUUUGGCCCGUUGGAGAGGAAAACUUGAGGUAAGAUGGCUGUGAUUUCUUGCUUAGAAUUGUGCUACUUACCCUAGAAAGGUUUGGAUAACAGAUGUUUUAUAGUUACUAUAACUUAUAUUACUAUGUGAACGUAGAAAUGAUGUUAUAAGCAGCUUGUGUAUAUAAGUUUGGGUUGAAGUAAAACUUGGGCUGUACUUGUCAGAAUUUAUGUUGCUUAACCUAAAGGAGAAAUUAGGUUAGAGUUUCUUAGGUUCUAAGCUGAAAUUGCCAUGAAAGCAAUCUAAAUUAAGCUAAUUGUUGUAUGUAUAUAUGUGAAAUAAGUAACCUGAGAUAAGUGGAUUUUAAUUCUUGAUUAGAGUUAUAGUAUUUACUUUAUAAAAGGAUUUCUUAAUUGCUAGAGUUUGAAGCCGCCAUGAAACCUAGAGAACAAACCCUAUGUUAUGCGUAAAAUGUCGGAUUUUCGACUACGCGGCUAAUUGUGAUCAAAUUGAUCAAAAUAAUGAGAAAAAGGAAAUUGGGUUGCUUCCGAGCUUAAUUGGUAGCUUUGGCAUAGCGUUUAGUACGUUUUGGAAGUGUUUGGAUGGACUCGGAAAGAACUAGAUGUGCAAAAGGGGCUGAAAACUGCUGCUGUCGGCUAUUGUUUAGUGCAGGGACUGAUUUGUAAACUGUUGGACUACAAUGCAGUUUUAGUCUUUUGAGGGGUUAAGAGGGCUUUAAAACAGGGUUUUUGUUGUGGGAGCUGAAAGCAACCGGUGGAACAUCGAAUUAAGGUAAAUUUGAUUAAAGAUUCAGUUAAUUACCUUUGGAGAAUAGUUAACUUGGAGUUCUAUAUAGUGUAUAAGUUGUGGAAAUGUGAAAAUUGCAUUGUGAAUCUUGUGUAGAUAAACUGAUUAGAGAAAAACUAGGGGGAAUUAAAUGUAUUCCCUGGUUUCGAUGACUUCCUUUGUUGUAUAGGAGGGUUAAACCAAGAGUUUCUAAGUAGUUGUAAAUUGUAGUAGUGUAGAAAAGCUGUAAAGAAGUAAAUUAUCAAAAUACGAGAGUUUGACUUUGUCCUGGAUCGACUAUUUGUCGAAUGGGAUGGCUUCGAAGAAGCCCAAGAUGUUAAAACGGGCCAAAGCGCGUUAACAUGGGGUCUACGAGAGCUUGGAGGCAAAAAUCUGCAAAUUGCAUAUUUUCAGCUCCAGGAGACCGGUCCCAAGUGGGGCAGACCGAUCUCCGCGCGCGCAGGUAGCCCAAACCGAGAGGGGGCAGCUCUUGGGUUUCAGCCUCCACGCAGAGGCAGACCGGUCCCAAGGGGGCAGACCGGUCUCGGAAGACCGGUUUCACCGGAGGGAGACCGGUUGCUACGCGCGUGAGCCCUGCCAGCCGAGAAGGCAGCUCUCGGAGACUUGUCCCAAGCAGCAUGAGACCGGUCUCCCAGGCCGCGAACAGCCCAGUGAGGGCGGUGCACAGGAUGAAACGUUGAGGGGCUAAAGUGAAUUUUGUUACAUUAGAAGGGUAUGUAGGCCCUCUCCCCCUCUCACUCUCUCUCAUUCCCAUCUCUCUCUCUCUCUCUCAUUCUCUUGCUCUAUCUCUCUAGAAGGAAAAGAAAGAGAAGACCUAGGAGAGGAAGAAGAAGGAAAAGAGAGGAGAAAAAGAAAAAAGAAAGAAAGGAGAAGAAGAAGGAGAGCAAAGAGGAGGACUUGGACCUCUCCCUCUCCCUCUCCCUCUUUUUUUCUCUUUGGAGCUAGCACAAGAGGUAAGCCCUAACCCUAGCUUUUGUAAACUUAGGGUUUUUGGGUUUUGAGCUUAGAAAUGGGUCAAAUGGACCCUUAGCAAGCUUCCAAAUAGAUCAAUCCUAAACUCUAGGGUUUUGAAAGAGAGGUUUGCUAUAGGUGCAAACCUAAGGCUCCAAAUUGGGGUCUUUGAUAAAUGAGGAGAUUGAUCUCAUUUGGUGGCUUGUAAACCUAAUUGGCGGGUGUCUAAACGCGUUGGGGAAGUCGGAAUUUCGAUUCGUCGAACGGAUAAAAACAUAUGAGCAAAAUGAUGUUGAUUAUGCUUCGUUUCGACCUAGGAGGCCGAGACUUCGAGGAAGCAAGUGCCGUGGAUCAUCCUUAGGACCUCUACGACGAAAGUAGCGAACGCGAGGUGGGGGGGUGUCAUCCCGAAGCUACCGAACCCUUUUCUAUGUCUUAGAACUAUUAGAAAUUUCAUCUCUUGCAUGUUGCAUUGUAGGGUUGCAUCGUAGUACCUUUCCUUAUGCUUUUCAAUGUUAACCUAGUGUAUAUGGAAUACUUGGUGAAAAAUGAAUAGGUAAGGAUUGGGUCGGAACAUGGAUCCUAUAGUGCUAAAAGAAAGAGAUGACUCGAGGUUAUGUGUUGACAUAGAAAAUGACAUGGUAUGUUUAAAGAACAUAGAUCGAGUGGCAUUGUAUGUUUAAAGAACAUAGAUCGAGUGGCAUUGUAUGUUUAAAGAACAUAGAUCAAGUAGCAUUGUAUGUUUAAAGAACAUAGAUCGAGUGGCAUUGACAUAGUGUACUUGACACUAGAGGUCGUGGACAUAGGGAUAGGUGAAUCCCUUAGAAAAUACCUUGUGAACAAUGAAUUUAAUUGAGCUAAAUACUGUUGCAUGUGUAUCGGAAUAGAGUUCCGAAAUAUUGUUAGCCCUAGUUUGUAGGGUAUCUUCACUUGGAGAGGAUAGAUCUACCUCACAGUCUACUACUUUGGGAUGGUAUAGCCAUUCAUAUCCUCACAUAGAGAGGAUGGUCGUCGAGUACUCCGGAGUGUCAGGCGAUAGGGACCACAUGGAGGUCCGUAGACAACCCCGGGUUUUGUGAGCACAUGGAGCUCCUCACCCAACGGGGGGUGUGCGUGAGGCGUAGGCAAACCCAAGGGUUGUGCCAUGGAUUGGGUAAAUGUAAAGUUAAUGUGUCAUCGAACAUUAUUAUCGCAUUGAACAUUGUAUAUCGAACAUGGAUCGAUUUGGUAGCAUGAUAGUAUCCUUUUACUAUGUGAUGCAUGCAUUCAUAUCUACAUGAUCAUGGGCAUAGUAGCAUAGUUUACUUUAUGCUUUUACUGCUUUGAAAUAUCAAUCUAUUUCGUUGUUGCUUAUGCCCACUUGGACCUAGUGGAGAGAUCGGCAGAGUCGGCGGCCGAGCCCACUGGGAACUAUGGAAGAUAGUUCUCACCCCACUAUAUUUUCAGUGGUAGGUACAGGUUUGCCAGGCGAGGACCGCGGCAAGGGCAUCGUGCCCGACCAGUGAGUUCGUGGUAGAUAGUAGCUUUCCUUUUUGCAUUUAGUACACCUAUGUAUUUAUGAAAGAGACUCAUGUAGGUGAGGUUGGAGAGCUAUGUAUUCGAUGAACAUGUGCCUAUUUUGAGGAAAUGAUGUAAAUGUUAAAGAUUGCAAAUUAUUGUAAUAGCUAGUAAAGUAUUCUCUUUAUUUUCACUUGUAUUUACUUGUGGAUUACUUGCUCUUUUGUUGUAGUUGGCACUAUUUGUGCCCAAGCGAUCAUAUAUGUUGAAUUUAGUUUUCCUGGGUAAAUUCUUGUAUAUGAUCAGGUUUGAGCCUUGGGCGGACAGGGGAGGUUCUAUCCGUUCGGCAUCCGCUUGCCGCGCCCGAAACGCGCCAAAUUGGUAGUGUUUUCGGGGCGGGGCGUGACAGAAGCAUUGAGAUUAGGUUGAAAUCAACAUGAAUGUACAUAUUGAUAUAGAUGUAUGUGCAUAGUGUUAGAAGUAGAAACCAGAACUUGGUUGAUCCUAUACCGUGUUUAAUUAUGUUAGUAUAUUCAGUCCAGGAAAGAGUUUAAACUAUAGAUUUUGAUUAUUAAGCCCAAAUGCUGAAAACUCGAUAUAGAACUAGUUUAUACUAUAGAUGUGUGUGUAUAUGUAUAUAUACAUAUAGAUGUAUAUGUGCCUAGUGUUAAGAUGGAAAAACUGAAUUAAGAGAGGUUGAAAUUAUGAAUUAGGAUGACUUAAUUACUGCAUAGAGAAGUUAAGCUAUGCCUAAUGCAGUUUAUAGAGUCAGAAUGAUAAUAUGUAACCUAUGGUAAGCUAUAGGUGAUAUAGUGGAUAUGUGACUUAUGAAUUAAAGUAAAACCUGUGGCAGAGCUUGUGAUGUUAACUAUUAAGAUUGAUGGUUACUACCCUAAAGAGAGUUAAUUAUGAGUUGUUUUAACUUCUGUAUCCGAACUGCCAUAGGGAAUUUAAUAGAAGAUUAUAUGUAUAGAGGUAUUGGCACUAUUCAUAUAUAUAUAUAUAUAUAUAUAUAUAUAUACUAUAUAUAUAUAUAUACUAUAUAUAUAUAUAUACUAUAUAUAUAUAUAUACUAUAUAUACAUUCAUAGAAGAAUAAAAGAUAUUAUAUUUAAGUACAUUCUUAUUUUUACAAAUUCCAUUUAACUUUAACAUAUAUAUAUAUAUAUAUAUAUAUAUAUAUAUGUUAAAGUUGAAAUGCGAAGUUUGUAAAAAUAAGAAUGUGACUUAAAUAUAAUAUCUUUUAUUCUUCUAUGAAUGAAGGUUAAACGUGCUCAGAAGCUUAGAUUGGUAUUCCGACGGUCCUACGGCGCACUAAUUACGAUAGACGUCGUUCUAGCUUUAUUCGCAUCAAGUCACGAGGACUUGAUAGUUGUGAGCUCCAAGACAUUGGUUCUAGUCUUCGGCAUCCCUACAGGUGGGUGGUGCUAUCCGAAAUCUUCGAAUCCCUCUUUAUGUCUAUGUUACCUUGUUGAGCAUAUCUGUAUAUGAAUCAUAUAAUAUUCAUGCAUUAUAGGGUAAUUGGCAUUGUGUAGUUAUGAAAUGAACAAUUGGACAAAUUUUAUUGUUCAGAACAUGUGAACCAUAGAGUGUGGACAUAUAACCCUAUGAAUGUGUGAAUUUAUUGUGGACCAUGACAAUAGUAAAUUUGGUGACAUUAUGACUAGAGAAUUGGUUAGCUUCAAGAUUGGAAUUGUAAAACUAGCAUAAAGAGCUAGUUAGAGUUAAAGUGUGGCAUUGUCAAUGUAUCCUCUAAGCGAGGAUUAGAUCAUACUCACAUAGUCUGUUCUUAGCUUGGCGGUGGUCGCUCCACCCAAGCAGUGCACUCCGGAGUUGUCAUACAAUGGGCUAACGUACUUGCCCAUGGACUAACGUACUUGUCGAGCAGACGGUCCCGUCGGGUUAGUAGCGAAAUUCUCCCCAAUAUUAGAGAUUUUUUGGUAAGUUAUAGUUGACCAAAUGGUUAACCAGUUUGAUUGGAUAAUAAUGAUUAACAACAUGCAUGCAUCAAUUUCAUAUGUUAAUUACUGUUUAUUUUAGCUUGUACAGGCAUUGUAGUAGUUACAUGUAUAGCUGGUUACUAUUUACUCUCUUUUCUUACCUACAUAUGCCUGAAUAGACCUAGUGGGUGAGUCAACGAGGUCGGCGGCCGAACCCACUGGGAACUUCCAGUAGUUCUCACCCCACUAACCAUACAGAUUCUAGCUGAGCGGGUUGGUUAAGGAUCGUGACUUGGACAGCGCUCCAUAGAUAGUGGACAUCCAUUGAGUAUAGUAUACCUUGUACAUUUCAUCUAUUUAUAGUUGAUGAAAGCAAAUGUAAAUUAUUCAAUUGAGAGAUGGUAAUUGUAUAUCUAUUGAAGAAUGUACGUAUGUGAUCAAAUGAUAAGCUUUGUAUUUGAUUUAAAGUAAUCAAGAUACAAUCUAUGAAUGUUUUAGUUAGUUUACUUUCACUUGUGUUUGUUGCUUGCCCUUGUGCAAGCCAUGUAUAUUGAAAUUUUUUCUGAGCAUUUUUUUUAUACAUGUAGCUGUAAUUGUUGAGCCUUGGGCGGACAAGGAAGGUGCUGUCCGUUUGGCGUCUGUGCACGGGUCCGGAUCGACCAAAUUGGCGAUAGCGGGACGUGACAGAAAGUGGAUUCCGGAAUCCCGGCUGCGAGUGCAGCGGCUGCAAGUGCAGUGUAUGAGACUUGCAACUAAGUGCAAGUGAAUCAUAAGUGCGGGUAUGUGUGGUUCUCCUUGUCCGACAGUGAUUCAACAGGUAUGUGUGGUUUUCUUCGCCCGGUAAAAGAGAAUAUUGAGCGCUACGGUGCGUGUGGCAUAUUCCCCUCCCACCGGAAAGAUUCCUGACCACCGGUGUGCACAGUUCUUCGCGACCCGUUGGAAGAUGUGGUUUGUGGAUUGAAGGCUGAGGUGUAUGUGAGAGUUCCUUCAUCUCGAGCCUGACAGAGCGCAGAUUAUCUGCGGAUGAUUGACUCAAGAGCGUGUCGAGUGGCAUAGUUGACUAAGGUAAAAGUAACUUUAGGAAAAGAGUGGCAAUGAGCAUAGUGUGGCUAAGGUAAAAUAACCUUAGGAAAGAAUGAGAACGACUAGUAAUAAAAAAUGUCAAAGAAUAAAGAAUUGCAAGUAGUAAAGAAUGGCUAGUAAUAAAGAAUUACAAAUAAUAAAGAAUGACAAAUGAUAGAGGGUAGAAUCAAGUGAUCUACUAGCAUGAGUUGCAUGAUUCGCAUAUAGCAUGUUGUGAGGCAUACGCAUGUAUUUUAAGUACUUGCAUAUAUUAUCUAUGGAUAUCUGUUGUCCUAACAUGUUGCAGUGCCUUCUUUGAACCUGGUGGGUCGAGCUCUUCCCUUGGGUGGCCGUACCCACUGGGAAUUAUCCGUAUAGUUCUCACCCCACGUUGUUUUGGGGGAUUUCAGGUUCACACGCGAGUAGUGUGGCAGCACGAGGAAAUGGCGUACCUCAGUAGAUAGCGCCCUACCACCGAGAUCAGAGAUAGCAGUACCCUGAGUUAGCUUAACUUAGGGAUGUAAAAAUAAAAGCGAAGAACCAAGUUGUAAUAAGUUGUAAUAAUCUUGUUAAAGCUAGAUUGUAUUUGGAAGUUAAAAGGAAGUAAGAAUGUAGUAUGUGAGUUGAAUGUUUGUAAUAGUUAGCAAAUAUAUUUUUGAUACCUUCCUUAUGAAAUUCUUGUUUGAAUGCUGUUCCUGGUUGGAACCUCGCGCAUUGUAUGGAUUGAGACGCCUUGGACGUAUAGGGGAGACUCUGUCCGUUCAGCGGUCUGUCGGCAUGCCUGAACCCGACCAAAUAGGCGGGGUUUGGGGCGUGACAGCUGUGGUUUUGUGCCGGUGGGUGAGCAUACUGUGGCACUACCUGUGGUCUUCAGACCUAUAUGGCGAGGUGUUUCGAUAUCAAUUUCAUACAGUUGAUGCAUUGUCUAUUGUUUACAGUAGCGGUAGGUGAUUAUUGUUGGUCUUAUCUAAAUUUCUUUAUUCGCUAUUGUACAUGAUUAUCUAUCUAUCUCAGUUGUUUUUCUCUUGCUAGUGAGUAUAUUUGCUCUCGUCGGCUUGUGGUGUCCACUGGGAGACCGUUGUUGGUUUCUCGCCCCCCCCAGGUGAUGUUGGUGGUAGGAGUCGGGACGGUGUGUGAGGUGUGGUAGAUAACAAGCUCUAGAGGUCCUGAUAUAUCUGCAUUGAUUAUAGUUAUCUCGAUUUGACCAUUUCCUUUAUGGUUAAUAAAUUAAAAAUUGUGGUUCAGUUAUCUGUGUGUUUGAUUGUCAAUCCAUGAAUAAUCUAUGCUGUGGAUGAUCUUUUAAUUACAUGUAUUUGAAAUAGUAAUUCUUUUGGGAUUCCCGGUGAUAUGUUACUUCGGUUUUAUCAUAUGUGGUUUUCUAUCCCUCGAGGUAUUCAGUAUUUUCGAAAAAUGAGUUUCCAUGUGGGAGACUGUUUUCAAAUGAUUUUACGAUUUUAUCGAUUCUUAGAAUUUCAAAAAAAAUAAGUUUCCAGGUGGAAAACAUUUGUAAAUGAUAGUGUUGAUUGUUGUGGUAAUGUGCAUUUGCAUCAUCCUUUGCUUUGCCUAAGGAGUGUUUGGAGCAUGCAUCAUCGCAAGGAUUGCUAGCUGAUUGAUUAUUGUAAGCAUCUAUAUUGUGAAUGCUGUUUGUGUGUGUAAGGAAGUGAAUUCUCGAAAUACGAGAGUUGAACUUUGUUUAGAAUCGACUGAUUAUCGAUUUGGUACACUUCGGAAAGGCCGAAGGCGUCAAAAAUCCAAAAAGUGCAUUGGUAAGGGCCUCGGAGAGCAAGAUGUGAAAAUCUACAACUUUGCAGAUUUUGCUCUCGGGGACCGGUCCCUGGUGGGAGGGACCGAUUCCCGCAAGCAGUGUGUGCGGCAGAAAACUCUGCGCACAGAGUUUACUAUCGGGGACCGGUCCCUGAUGGGACAGACCGGUCCCCGUACACGUAGAAAGGGAGGCAGAGUCCUCUACCCGCGAGAGUUGCUCUCGGGGAUCGGUCCUUCUAGGGACAGACCGAUUCCCGUGUGUAACAUACCAGAUUUUGGUAUUAAAAUAAAAAUAAAUAAAAAUAGUGUGAAAAACUAUUUUUAUUGGAUUUAGAGAAGUAAAACAUAAGUCAGAAGUGACUUGUGCUGAAAUUGGAAUUAAAACAGAAGAUUUAAAAUUUUCUGUUGAAAACAGGACAGAUAAAUUAGCAGAAAAUGCACAGUCUCAGAAAAUUAUGAAAAUUGGCGGAGAUGUCAGAAAUAUUUUUAUGAGGCUAGAUUUAAAGUUUCAUGUCAUUCUGACACCCGGAAGGUGAAAAAUAAAAUCCCACAGCUAUCUGUUAAAGAUUACAGUUCGGUACAGCUUUCGGUGACCAAACGGGAUCGAAACUGGAAGAGUGAUCGCUACUUUGUUAAGUUAAGUAAAACUGAACGUGCCUGUCAAAUUUGAGCUCAAACGGACAUCCAAAAGGGCUCCGUCAGGACCUAACUGCUAAACAGCCUGGAAUGAAUAGUGUUUGGGGUGUAAUUAAAUAGAAGCAACUUGCUUCUUCUCCCUCAACCAACCAGCCGACCACCCCCCCCCCCAACCGUGCGGCCAUGGUGAGGGAGAGAGAGAGCUCCACUUCUCUCUAAAUAUCUCUCUCAUCUCUCUAGAUCUCUCUCUCAAAUUCGCGGCGUUGGCGGAGAUGUUUGCGAACGCGUUGGAGGCGACGGAUCGAGCUUUCGUGCGCCCGUUGGAAUGGCGUGCUUUCGUCGCGGCGCUCACAUUGUGGUAAACUUUAGGGAUUUGGCUUAAUCCUUAGCUUUAAGUGUUCUAAUAGCCUCUAAUGAGCAUUGUUAGCAUGUUAAAUCCAUUUAAUUUUGGUUAAUUGAAGCAUGUGUAGAGGCUAGGUUUUUAAUGGUAUAUCUUUAGAGCUUCGAUUAUAUGCUUUAAGAAUGAAUUUAGAGAAAUUCUAGGAUGCUAAAUAGAUGGUUAAUGCAUGAUUCAUGAAGUUAAAUGAUGGAUUUUGCUAUACUUGCAUCUAGGGCUCCAAUUUUGGGGUUUUUGUAAAUAGUAGGGUUUGAUCUCAUUUGACCCUCCGUAAACCUAAUUGCUAGGUAAACGAACGCGUUGGCGAAGUCCGUUCUGCGAUCCGUCGAGCCGUUGCGAAGUUAUUAAAGAAACGGACGUUAGGCUUCAUUUUCGCCUAGAGGGCCGAGGUGACGUCAAAAAAAUCAUGAAAAUGGAUUUGAAGGACCGUGGCGCAUAACCGAAGACCUUUAAUUUUCGGAUCAUAGAUUGGAGGCCGUUCGGGUUGUCGUGCAAGAGUCCAGGCCGAACCGGGUUACGGGUGCCGCGGGAGCCCGAUUGCAAGUGUCGACAAGCAAUCGGAAUGUGAUAACAGGUGGGUUGUGUUUACCGAAGCGACUAGGUCGCCUUUAUGUCUAAGAGAAUUAUGAAGUUAUAUUGAUGCAUAUAGUUGCUAAAAGAAUGCAUGUGAUAACGUAAUGUAAAAGAUAAGCAAAUGCUUGAGAUGGUUGCUAUGUAAUAAUUAUCAUAGAAUGCAUGCUAAGUAUGUCAUGAUAAAAUGCUAGAGGCAAGUAUGUGAUUAAUGUUAGUUGGAUGUAUGUCAUAGAAAUGCUAAAGCAAGAAUACUAAAGUAUACAUGAUAAGCCUGAUGAAGUCAUAACAAAUGCAAGCAUGAGGUUAAUGCUUAGAAUAUAGAUGAUGACAUAUUGUGAAGUAACAUAUUGUGGAUUAUAUUAAAUAGAAACAUAUACAUGUUGAUAUGUGUGGACAAUCUAUAUAUAUUAGAUCGAGUGGCAUUAAACCUAGUGUCUUGAACAUAGGUUGAACAAGUAUAGUGUGAACCUAGUGUCAUGAAUCUAGCAAACACUUAUGGCAUUUGAGUAAAUAUAUUUUGUAUCAUUCAUGCAUGAUAGGGCUAUACAUGUGAACCUUGGUUGCUUUCAAUGACAUGUUCUAACGUAGUUGAACAUAGAGAACGGUAGAACCAUAAUGGACAUGUAUGUUAGGCCUAUUAUUGUGUGAAUGUGAGAGUUGGACUUGGACAUUAGCAAACCAAGGUGACAUUGACAAUAGAGACGUUGAUUGGUAUAAAGAACACAGUUGUUAAACAUAGUUUAACCAAGAGUGGCAUUGUGUCAAGAAUGACCAAGAAAGUGGCAAGAAUAAAUAGGUAGAAACCUAUCAUGAGAAAGACAUUGUGGCUAGUGGCUAAGUAUCCUCAAGUUGAGGAUUGGAUCGACACUCACGAUAAGUCUUGGCUUGAGGGAGGAAGCUCCCCCUCAAGCGGUGUGUUUCCGGAAACAGUCACCACGGGGAUAGUGGCCCCGAAGGACGGUCCCUAGGGGAGGUUCGAGGCCCCCUGUUAUGACGGGAUUUUGGGUUGUGAGUUUUUGGGGUUAACAAGUGUUAACCGGUAAGAUUGGGUAAAAGCCAUAGAUUGGGUAUUCCUGUCGAGUGGAUUUUGGGGGCUGAGGUGUAUGUGAGAUGUCCAUUAGCUCGAGCCCGGUUAUAUGCGGUAUUCCGCAGUUGAUUGACUCAAGACCGAGUCGGGUGGCAUAGAUGGUUAGGGUAAAAAUAACUUUAGAAAAGAAUCACCAAUGAGCAAAGUGUGACAAGAAAAUAGAGUAAAGAUUGGCUAAUGAAUAAGAAUAGCUAAUAAAGUAAAGAACGGCUACAAGUAAAGAAUUUACAAGUAGUAAAGAUUGGAUAACGAUAAAGAAUGGUAAUGAUAGAGAGUAAAAAUCCUUUUACCUACUUGCAUGAGCUACAGAAUUUGCAGAAUGUUCAUAUUGCAUAUUGUGAAGCACAACAUGUAUUUCAAUAUUUGUAUAUAUAUAUAUCGGUUGGACUAACAUGUUGCAAUGCUUCCUUGGACCUAUCGGUGGAGCUUUUCCCUUGGGUGGCUGUACCCACUGGGAACCAUGGAGUUGGUUCUCACCCCACGUUGUUUUGGGGUGUUACAAGUUCGCACGUGAGCGGUGCGGCGGCGCAGGCGAGGGCGUAGCUCCAUAGUUAGUGCCCUACCACCGAGACCAGAGAUAGCGGUACCCUGAGUCGGCUUACUUAGGGAUGUAAGAAAAUAAAAAGAAUCAAGUUGUAAUAAUUAUGUAAAAUGAUUGUAUUUGGAAGUUGUAAAUCAAAUUGUAAUUGGGAUGUAAAACUAUGAAUGUGAAUGCAUGUAAUAAUAUAGGAUGUGUUUAUAUUGUUUGAUACCUUCCUUAUGCAAUCAGUGUGUGAAUACUGUUCCUGUUUGGAACCAUUUGUAUUGUACAAGUUGUUGAGCCUUGAAUGUAUAGUGGAGACUCUGUCCGCAGUACAGGAAAAACCCUGUCCAUUCGGCGGUCUGUCGGCGGCGCCGCGACCCGGCCAAAUAGGCGGGUGGUCGCGGGUCGUGACAGAUAAGAUGGUAUUAGAGCAUAAAGAGAACAUAAAAAGAAUAAUAGAAAUGGUUUAGUUGGACGUAGGAGACCCUAGGAUUGUAAACCAUAGGAGAUUAAGGCUCGCGAGAGACGAGGACUUGUGACUUUUGGCGAAAGGUUAAUUGAUUGGGUUGUGUCAUAAACCUCUAUAACGGAUAUUAGAGGUAGAUUCAAGGUGUGGCUUAUUCUCAACCGAGGGUGUUCAUGUUGGACGCGUACAACAUGAAACCGAGUGAUGAGAAUAGACGCCCUUUCGUGACUUUCGCCCGAUUUGAGUCGGUAUUAGUUGUCUCGUAUUCGACCCGGAGGGUCGAGGAUCUAUCAAGUGUCGCGUUUUAGGAAGCGAUAGCGCCGCGUAGGCGAUCUUCGUUUAGAUCGAUGCGGGAUGGGACAAGUUGUCCCUAAGCAAUCCGAAACAAGCGGAGACUUGGGACUUCGCGAGCAGUUGGCCACUCUCGUGUGAGUGGCGGGGUAGUGAGCCAAAUUAGUGCAGUGUCAGCAGAAGGCUGCCAUAUGCCAAAAGGACGCGAAUCCGUUGAUCGUGGAGUUGUGGAUCGACUCCAUGGAGACUCCCUUUGGGGAUCUGUGCACUGUUAAGUGGGCCAAGGUACACCUAGCCCUGCGUUGCGUGCAAACAGUCGGCGAAGGUGUGGUGCACAGGCGUCGAGUCGGAUCGACUGCCUGGUCUCCUUCCUAUGGUUUGGAAUGAGUUUCGGGGAUCAGUAUUCUCCGCUUACUCAUCUGAUGAUGGAAAAGAAAGCUUCAGGAAAGGUUCCCGAAGCUGCGGCAGGUAGACCAUGCCGUGAGGGAAUACGAGCGGGAAUUCUCCCGUGUCGGGAGUUGCAUCUCGGACAUAGUGCGGGAUAAUGAGAACGAAACUCCUUGCAAAAAGGGAGAAUGUAACGUACCGAAAACACGGUAAAUAAAUGUCGAACCUUGGUCAAAUUGACCAGAGUGCGAGGUUGGUCCAUUUCGGAAAGGCCGAAGGUGUCAAAUGAUGCAAAAGUGCAUUAUUUGGGGAUCUUCGAGAGCGAACGAGUCAAUCUGCCAAAACUGCAGGUUCUAUGCUCUCGGAGACCGGUCCCAUGUGGGUGAGGCCAGUUUCCCAAUGCGCAGGCAGCAACCCGAGAGGAGGUGUUGGCUCGGUCUGGGAAAAUCAGCUCUCGGAGCCCGGUCCCAACAGGUCGAGACCGGUCUCCAGGGACCGGUUGCACCAGGUGAGACCGGUUGCAUCAUGCGCAAGCUGCGCAGUCCGCGGGUGGAGCUCUCAGAGACCGGUCUUAGGUCGGAGAGACCGGUCCCCCACCGUGAGAUUUGCCCAGUUUGGGGCAGUGCACAUUCUCGAGUGCUGUUGCAUUCCCGAGCCUCAGAGGUUUUCUUUGUUGACUUCUUCAAGAUACGAGAAUUGCAGAAGUUUUCGUCAGGCGCGGUGGGGUGCGCUGCGCGAUGAGAUAUGCACUCGUGUGGACGGUUACUGGGCCGUGACGUUGGCGACGGCCUUUUCUUCUCUGAGACGGCUUGUGGGCGUGUCACCUACAGUACGGUCUGGAGAGUGAGUUAUGAGAAUGUGGCGAACGAAGGGUUGGCGGUGGGCACUGAGUGGCCAUGAGUACGCGACCCUGGUCGAGGAACCUUGCAUGCAUUUAUCAUGCGGUCACUUACUACCGUUGAUACGUCAGAGCAGUAGGAACUAAGUGGACGGGUAAGUGUAAAUACCUGAGUAGCCCGAGUAGUAAGGAUAGCGUUCCGGUAGAUCGAACAGUGAAAGUAAGAUCACUGUUGAGAGAAUAGCUGAUUAGUUGCCGAGUACGGGCAUGUGAGGCCUUGUGGUACCUCGAAUUGAGGUAGGAGAGUAGUGCUCGUGGGAUCAACGUGCAUAGGCAUGGUUGCCUGAUGCUUGACUCAAUGUGGGACGCUAUAGAGACGUGUAGAGCGCUCGAGUGUGGAUACUCGUAGAGUGCGAUUUCGAUUCAGCCGGGAGAGUGAGUUGGCAGUAGCACUUUAGCAUUGCUAAAUGUGAAGCGGACCAUGGAUCACUUGUAGGGCUGGUGGCUCGCACUAGGUGCUUAGGAGCCGAGAGUGGUACGCGUGACUCGAUACAGUAUGUCGUGUAGGACGACGACGACGGGUAGUGCUUGCGGACGACCCGUGCCUGGACCACAUGUGGACUGUGGAGCCUGGGCCCUUCGAGCAGGCGCAGUCAGCUGUGAGAGACAGCGGCCCGGUACCUACUGGUAGGAAGGAAUUUUGGUCAGGGCUGUAGUCCGAGCUUAGACCCGGAGCAUGGAGUGCCACGUGUUGGAUUUUGAGAUCGAGGAUAUACCGAGAGUUCAGUUGUGACCCAACCCAAGGAUUUAUAGUGGUUUGGGGUCCUGGUUGCUCCUGAUUGGAGUGUGUACGAAUUCCUAAAUGAGAAUUUCGCCCGAUUAUGAUUGGGUCUGCGCUUGAGAGCGAGAGACGGUACGGGUAUCGAGACACGAUAGGCGGCGGGCCUACAUAGGAUCGGUGGCCUUCGGUCUACUUAUGAAGACCAAAGUGAGCGUUAUGGUCGAUAACUCUGUGGAUGAGUUUGGCUUGUAUUAGCGAACAGAGGGCUCGUAUGAAUUCGUUGUAAGAACGAAUUGGUUGGUCAUGGCAAUGAAAACAGAAAGUAAGUGGUCUCUUUGAGAUACUUGAGUAUUGGAUAGCCACGCGAGAAAUGACGUAAAGCUUUCUUGAGGAUUGAGAUGUGCCGGAGUGUGCCAUGUCGUAGUAGAGCAAGAUUCGGUUGAGAUUGGAGCUCUCACAGUGAAGCGAUGCACCGGUGAUAUUGCUUCUAAGCAAUGUCGAUAACUGAGUCGGAAUGAAAUUCCUAAAGGAAAGGUGAAUGCAAAGAAGAGUUCUUUGUGUAACGAAUGGCGAGUGGCGUUGGAGCGCGUAGAGUCGUCGAGUACCGACUUGCGCUGCCACUAUGACUUGUAAGACCUGUGAUGCACUUUUGUAUCACGCUUUGCAAGUGACUUUAGGAUUAAACCCACGUCCUUCAGUAUGAGCCGCUUCUUGAACCACGAUUGUGUGAAGCCGCUUUGGAGUGGGAGAAUGAGUUGGGGCCCUCGAUUGCUCAAGGAGCUAAAUUGAGGCGUGGUUUGAAUUUCGCGGACGAAAUUCUUUUUAAGGGGUGGAGAAUGUAACAUACCAGAUUUUGGUAUUAAAGUAUAAAUAAAUAAAAAUAGUGUGAAAAACUAUUUUUAUUGAAUUUAGAGAAGUAAAACAUAAGUCAGAAGUGGCUUGUGCCGAAAUCGGAAUUAAAACAGAAGAUUUAGAAUUUUCUGUUGGAAACGGGAUAGAUAAAUUAGCAGAAAAUGCACAGUCUCAGAAAAUUAUGAAAAUUGGCGGAGAUGUCAGAAAUAUUUUUAUGAGGCUAGAUUUAAAGUUUCAUGUCAUUCUGACACUUAGAAGGUGGAAAAUAAAAUCCCACAGCUAUCUGUUAAAGAUUACAGUUCGGUACAGCUUUCGGUGACCAAACGGGGUCGAAACUGGAAGAGUGAUCGCUACUUUGUUAAGUUAAGUAAAAUCGAACGUGCCUGUCAAAUUUGAGCUCAAACGGACAUCCAGAAGGGCUCCGUCGGGACCGAACUGCUAAACAGCCUGGAAUGAAUAGUGUUUAGGGUGUAAUUAAAUAGAAGCAACUUGCUUCUUCUCCCUCAACCGACCAGCCGACCACCCCCCCCAACCGUGCGACCAUGGUGAGGGAGAGAGAGAGCUCCACUUCUCUCUAAAUAUCUCUCUUAUUUCUCUAGAUCUCUCUCUCAAAUUCGCGGCGUUGGCGGAGAAGAGGCUUGCGAACGCGUUGGAGGCGACGAAUCGAGCUUUCGUGCGCCCGUUGGAGCGGCGUGCUUUCGUCGCGGCGCUCACAUUGUGGUAAGCUUUAGGGAUUUGGCUUAAUCCUUAGCUUUAAGUGUUCUAAUAGCCUCUAAUGAGUAUUGUUAGCAUGUUAAAUCCAUUUUAUUUGGGUUAAUUGAAGCAUGUGUAGAGGCUAAGUUCUUAAUGGUAUAUCUUUAGAGGUUUGAUUAUAUGCUCUAAGAAUGGAUUUAGAGGAAUUCUAGGAUGCUAAAUAGAUGGUUAAUGCAUGAUUCAUGAAGUAAAAUGAUGGAUUUUGCUAUACUUGCAUCUAGGGCUCCAAUUUUGGGAUUUUUGUAAAUAGUAGGGUUUGAUCUCAUUUGACCCUUCGUAAACCUAAUUGCUAGGUAAACGAACGCGUUGGCAAAGUCGGUUCGGCGAUCCGUCGAGCCGUUGCGAAGUUAUUAAAGAAACGGACGUUAGGCUUCGUUUUCGCCUAGAGGGCUGAGGCGACGUCAAAAAAAUCAUGAAAAUGGAUUUGAAGCACCGUGGCGCAUAAUCGAAGAACUUUAAUUUUCGGAUCGUGGAUUGAAGGCCGUUCGGGUUGUCGCGCGAGAGUCCGGGCCAACCGGGUUACGGGUGCCGCGGGAGCCCGAUUGCAAGUGCCGACAAGCAAUCGGAAUGCGAUAACAGGUGGGUUGUGUUUACCGAAGCGACUAGGUCGCCUUUAUGUCUAAGAGAAUUAUGAAGUUAUAUUGAUGCAUAUAGUUGCUAAAAGAAUGCAUGUGAUAACGUAAUGUAAAAGAUAAGCAAAUGCUUGAGAUGGUUGCUAUGUAAUAAUUAUCAUAGAAUGCAUGCUAAGUAUGUCAUGAUAAAAUGCUAGAGGCAAGCAUGUGAUUAAUGUUAGUUGGAUGUAUGUCAUAGAAAUGCUAAAGCAAGAAUACUAAAGUAUACAUGAUAAGCAUGAUGAAGUCAUAACAAAUGCAAGCAUGAGGUUAAUGCUAAGAAUAUAGAUGAUGACAUAUUGUGAAGUAACAUAUUGUGGAUUAUGUUAAAUAGAAACAUAUACAUGUUGAUAUGUGUGGACAAUCUAUAUAUAUUAGAUCGAGUGGCAUUAAACCUAGUGUCUUGAACAUAGGUUGAACAAGUAUAGUGUGAACCUAGUGUCAUGAAUCUAGCAAACACUUAUGGCAUUUGAGUAAAUAUAUUUUGUAUCAUUCAUGUGUGAUAGGGCUAUGUACAUGUGAACCUUGGUUGCUUUCAAUGACAUGUUCUAACGUAGUUGAACAUAGAGAACGGUAGAACCAUAAUGGACAUGUAUGUUAGGCCUAUUAUUGUGUGAAUGUAAGAGUUGGACUUGGACAUUAGCGAACCAAGGUGACAUUGACAAUAGAGACGUUGAUUGGUAUAAAGAACACAGUUGUUAAAUAUAGUUUAACCAAGAGUGGCAUUGUGUCAAGAAUGACCUAGAAAGUGGCAAGAAUAAAUAGGUAGAAACCUAUCAUGACAAAGACAUUGUGGCUAGUGGCUAAGUAUCCUCAAGUUGAGGAUUGGAUCGACACUCACGAUAAGUCUUGGCUUGAGGGAGGUAGCUCCCCCUCAAGCGGUGUGUUUCCGGAAACAGUCACCACGGGGAUAGUGGCCCCGAAGGACGGUCCCUAGGGGAGGUUCGAGGCCCCCUGUUAUGACGGGAUUUUGGGUUGUGAGUUUUUGGGGUUAACAAGUGUUAACCGGUAAGAUUGGGUAAAAGCCAUAGAUUGGGUAUUCCUGUCGAGUGGAUUUUGGGGGCUGAGGUGUAUGUGAGAUGUCCAUUAGCUCGAGCCCGGUUAUAUGCGGUAUUCCGCAGUUGAUUGACUCAAGACCGAGUCGGGUGGCAUAGAUGGUUAGGGUAAAAAUAACCUUAGAAAAGAAUCACCAAUGAGCAAAGUGUGACAAGAAAAUAGAGUAAAGAUUGGCUAAUGAAUAAGAAUAGAUAAUAAAGUAAAGAACGGCUACAAGUAAAGAAUUUACAAGUAGUAAAGAUUGGAUAACGAUAAAGAAUGGUAAUGAUAGAGAGUAAAAAUCCUUUUACCUACUUGCAUGAGCUACAUAAUUUGCAGAAUGUUCAUAUUGCAUAUUGUGAAGCACAACAUGUAUUUCAAUAUUUGUAUAUAUAUAUCGGUUGGACUAACAUGUUGCAAUGCUUCCUUGGACCUAUCGGUCGAGCUUUUCCCUUGGGUGGCCGUACCCACUAGGAACCAUGGAGUUGGUUCUCACCCCACGUUGUUUUGGGGUGUUACAGGUUCGCACGUGAGUGGCGCGGCGGCGCGAGGCGAGGGCGUAGCUCCAUAGUUAGCGCCCUACCACCGAGACCAGAGAUAGCGGUACCCUGAGUCGACUUACUUAGGGAUUUAAGAAAAUGAAAAGAAUCAAUAGUAAUAAUUAUGUAAAAUGAUUGUAUUUGGAAGUUGUAAAUCAAGUUGUAAUUGGGAUGUAAAACUAUGAAUGUGAAUGCAUGUAAUAACAUAGGAUGUGUUUAUGUUGUUUGAUACCUUCCUUAUGCAAUCAGUGUAUGAAUACUGUUCCUGUUUGGAACCAUUUGUAUUGUACAGGUUGUUGAGCCUUUAAUGUACAGGGGAGACUCUGUCCGCAGUACAGGGGAAACCCUGUCCAUUCGGUGGUCUGUUGGCGGUGCCGCGACCCGGCCAAAUAGGCGGGUGGUCGCGGGUCGUGACACCGUGCCUGAAAACUUGCAGUCUGGGCAGGGCAAGAGAGGCAAAGUGGGGGGGUGUAAUAGCAAUUGGAGCACUUAUGAAGGGGUAUAGAGGGGAAAUGAGCCAUCUCCUCCUCAUUUCUCUCCCAACACACUCACUCUCUCUCUCUCUAAACUCUCUCCCUCUCUCUUUAGAAGGUGAAGAAGGAGGAGAUUUUGGUGGAGGAGCAAGCAAGGAGAAGGCCUAGCAUCAUCUUCUUCCUCCUCUCCACCAUUGGAGCUAGCACCUUAAGGUAAGCUCAAAGAGCUUUCAUGGUAGAACCCUAUAGUUGGAUUUUUAUCCUCUAGAAAUGGUUUUAUUGGAACCCUAGCUUCUCUACUAGGUGGGUUAUGCAUGAAUCUAGAGCUUCAUUGAGGGAUUCUUGCUAGUUGUAAACCUAGGGCUCCAAAUUGGGGUUUUUGGAAAUAGAGGGUUUUGAUCUAAAUUGAUCGUGUAUUAACCUAAUUGCUAGUUGUUUAAACGCGUUGACGAAGACGGUUCGUCGAUUCGUCGAGCGGGUGCGAAGAUAUCGCCGAAACGAGUGUUCGUGGGUUUGUAUUGACCCGAGGAGUUGAAGCGGCGACCGAAGAUCGCGAAAUCGAGUACCUAGCCUCGCAACAUUACCCAAAGGUGGGGGGUGUCAUCCCGAAGCAACCGGGCUUCUCCCUAUGUCUAAGUACUUAUGUGUCGAUCAUAUUCCAUAUGUGAAUCUCAUGCAUGAUAGGGUGUUUAGAUGUUACAUUUACUAUUCUUACAUUCUCCCUUAUAAUGCGGCAUAGUAGGCUUGGCAUGUGCACUUAGGGUGCAUGAGAAUGAGUUGUGGUGACAUAGAACUCUAUAGAGAUAAGUUAAAUAGAAACUUGAUCUUGCAUUGAUGAAUAUGAUGAUAUAUGACCAGUGUAGUCGAGACAUUGCAUCAUGACGAGUGGCAUGUGAACUAAGUAAACAACUUGACGAGUGGCAUUAGAGCUUAGUGUUAAAAGAAUACUUGUGUCAUGAUGACCCUAGUGGCAGGGUAUCCUCAGUGGACGAGGAUUGGAUUAUACUCACAUGGUCUGUUCAGCGCUUGUGGCGGUCGCUCCGCACAGGUAGUGCACUCCGGAGUUGGCACGUGAAAGAUUGGGAUAGCCUAUGUAGGGUCCCAAGGGAUAGCUUAUGUGGGGUCCCGCAGACAGUCCCUUGGGUGGUUCGAGUCCCCCAUUAAAGACAGAUUUGAGAUGUGAAUCGUGGGCACGCCUAUGGGCCAGCCAGAGGAUUCGAUAAUAAACUCAAGAGAAUUGUGCAAUUUGAGCAUACUGAGCAUAGUAGAGUUGCAUUCAUGCUUGAUAGAGUUAUAGUAGCAUGUUAGUGUUUACAUGGCUAUGUUGGUUACUCUUGUUUCUCAAGGCAUAGUAGAAUAGUGCAAUUCUUUCAAUAUGCAUCAUUUACAGCUUUACAUAUCUAUCUAUCUAUCUGUCUAUUCCUGCUUAGACCUAGUGGGGAGAUCGGCGGAGUCGGCGGCCGAACUCAUUGGGAACUAUGGACAAUAGUUCUCACCCCACUUUGUUGCAUGGCCGAGUUCGAGUACUCCCGGCGAGGACCGCGGUAAGGGCAUCGCGCCCUAGUUUAGUAGCAGCUCUCCUAUGCAUUAGAGUACCUAUGUACCUUGGGAUAUUGGUGUAUUAAGUAGGGAGUUACAUGUAUUUUGGGAUUAUACUAGUUACCAGAAACUUGUAUAUAUUCAUUUUGGAAGUUACAAAUGUAAACCGAUGUAAAUGAAUGGUUGAAUGGAUGUAAUAAAUAGAUGUAUCUCUCUUUGUUCACUUGUAUCAUUACUUAUGUCUUGCUCUUACUUUGUUAGCACUUGUGGUGCUUCGCAUUUGAUCAUGUAUGUUUAUUAAGCAUGUUCCUGGAAGCUUGAUUGUACUUGAUCAUGUUGUUGAGCCUGGGGCGGACAGGGGAGGUGCUGUCUGUCCGGCAUAUGCUCGACGCGCCCGAACCGAACCAAAUGUGUAGCGAUCUCGAGGCGUGACAGUGUGACCGAAUAAUAGUGUUGCAACACUUACGUAGUAGUACGCCGUGCAAAUAUAGGGAAGACUCUAUCUGGGUAGACAAGAAAAAAUUUGGAUUUGUGGCGGGUCUGUUCUGUCUCGUGGCAAGUUGUAUUUCAAAAAACAAAUUGAGGCAUUUUUCACUUGCUUUACUUUCGAACUGGAUUUUUCUUUGAAAAAGCUUUACAAAAUAGGCCCCGGGGCAUGACAGAAAGCUUUGCAAAACCUUCUACAAAUCGAUGAUAAUAACCAGCCAACACUAGAAAACUCUGCAACUCAGAAACACAUAACACUGUAGAUAUAUAAUCAUAAUCACACUAAUCCUUGAAAUAGUAUAACAUCUUUGGCCACUCCAAACCUCAAAACACUAUACAGGUGGUCCAAUACUACACACGCAAAAAUAGUAGAAAAUGGUAAUUAUCCAUGAUUCCCUUGCCUCAAUCAGUCGUUGGUGCUGAACGCUCUGUAAUAAAAUAUUGAUAAAAAAGGUCUAAGAACUAUAAGCAAGUCCCUAGCGGGUAUGGUCGACAAUGCCGCCGGUCUACAUGCACUACUAGAAAUAGUAAAUAACUGUGCAGUAUAAAUGAAUAGGUAAUAAUAUGAACAAUUGCUGAAAAUAAUUACUGCUAUCCUACCUCUAUAAUAUAACUAAAAACGGUAAAUUUUGUAUUUCAUGCAUCAAUUAGAUACUGAAUAAAAUAAUGCAGUAAUGCCCAAUCAUAGUGACCGACUCAACAGUCAGAUCUAGCCUGCGCCGCCUCGUGCCCAGCACCCACCUAUAGUGGUAUGUUAUCACACAGGCUACUGUCUGGCCCAUGCUAUAAUAAUACUUCAUAGCCUGACCACUGGAGUGGCGCUUACAGGAUGCUAUCCCAACCGAGUAUAGUAUCACUAUCAAGUUCAAAAUGGUAUGCAGGCUAUAGUCAAAUACGCUGAUCAAAUAUAUCAUGAUGAUACUUUUAUAGUAUCCCGAAUACACUUAUAGUCUCAAACUAUCUGCCGCUGUCUAUUGGUUUUUAGGGUAAUAUCACAUAAUACUAAUAAUGAAAAAAAUGCAUAUCUCAAUAUACUCUACAGGUAGGUGUCAAAAUAUCACUAUUAUCUCAAUUAUGUCAACAGUUCAUCUCAUAGACUAAAUAAUAUAAUCUAGAAAAGGGAUAAUUGCCUAUAUAUGAUGUAUUUUUGAAAGGAUGAGUUUUUGAAAGGGGAAGAUAUUUUUAACUUCGACGCAUGAACAGAGGGGGAGAUUUUUUUAACUUUGUUUAUUACUUACUUUGUUCGUUGGAGAGAGUAAUAUUUUUGCAGAUUUUUGAAGACGUUAAGACUCCUUGUGUCUAAGUCAUAGAGUUUGUUUAGGAGUUGCAAAAUUGUAAUUUUGUAUUUUCUUUGGAUCUUUCACGCGAGAAGUUCAUUGUUUUGGUGAUGGCAAUGAAUUUCGAUUUUUGACUUUUGGAGUGUUGAGUGUUGUGAGUAUUUUGAUGUAUUUUUGAGUUUUGUCACCAAAUUGCCAAAAGGGGAGAUUGUUACGGAUUUUAAGUCGACAUACUUCACGAAAUAUGCCAACUUAAAAUCCGUAACAAUCUCCCCCUUCGGCAAUUUCGUGACAAAACUCAAAAAUAUAUCAAAAUACUCAAACACUCAACUCUCCAAAAGUCAAAAAUCGAAAUUCAUUGCCAUCACCAAAACAAUGAACUUCUCGCGUGAAAGAUCCAAAGAAAAUACAAAAUUAUAAUUUUGCAACUCUAUUGUAAGUUUUGGGGGUGCCCAAGGAUCUAUCUAGAUUGUAUCUAACACCUAGAGGGGGGGUGAAUAGGUGUAAAAAUUGAAAAACCACAAAUCUCGAUGCGAUAAAAAAUAAAUGCGAAAAAUAAAAGGCACACCGAGAUUUACGUGGGAAAACUCUAACUCGGAGUUAAAAACCCACGGGACCAACAUGCGAUAACAAUCCACUAAGAAUAAAAGAUUACAAGGUGAUUUACCGAAUCCAUUGACUCAAACCUCUCUUUUAUCUCCUUUGGAUCUCGCGCACACCAACGGGUUGUCCACGCCCCACGUCCGACUCCACGAACGCUACGUCCCGAAUCCACGAAACGCCAACACUUCGAAUCCACGAAGCCUCGAACACGUCGAAUCCACGAGUGCACUCCGUCCGGAGCAAGAACAAUACGAUCGAUGAUGAUUUAUUGCUUAGAUUAUCAUUAAAGAACCGUAGAAGAUAUUUCUAAGCAAUAGUUGGAUCAAUUCGCCAUGAAGAACGAGAAAUUAGGGUUACACGAAUUAAACCGAUAGAAACUUGUUGUUGGAUAGAAGAAAGAAAGCACCUAACAAGUUUCUACGGUUUUGAAAAGAUAUUCUAUGCUUCACCGUUGAUUAGAAACACCUCUACAUCUUAUUUAUAGGUUUAGAAUACUUAGAGAUAGACUAGGAUUUGAAAACCUGAUUUUUAAAACCAAUUAUAAGACUUAGAUAGACUAGGAUUUGAAAACCUGAUUUUUAAAACCAAUUAGAAGACUUAGAUAGACUAGGAUUUUAAAAAAUACAAUUUUAAAAACUGACGACGUCCUUAGGGACCGGUCCUUUUGAGGAGACCGGUCUUUGGGAGACCGAACUCUCAAGUUGGAGACCGGUCCCUCGUUGCGUGCCUGAAAAUCCAAGCUUCGGGAACCGGUCUCUCAGCACAGGGACCGGUACCUUGCUGCGUGCCAGAAAACUGAAGCUUCGGGAACCGGUCUCUCAUCUCAGGGACCGGUUGCCUCAACUUGUCACACAACGAGGACCUUCAGGGACCAGUCUCUCAUUUCAGGGAUCGGUCUCUGAACACUGAAAAGUUCAGAUAUUAUAUUUUGAAACAAUCCUAAAUCUUCCAAACACUUUUAAAUGUUUAUAAAUCAUCAUCAACAGUAUUUAAACUUACCGAGCAUUGUGGAUCUGUGUUUUGAGUUCUCAAGUCUUUGAUCUUUAUCUUUUCUUCUCUAAACCUUCAAGACUCUGACAUACUUUAUGAAAUAUGCCAACUUAAAAUCCGUAACAAUUUCCCCCUUUGGUAAUUUCGUGACUGUAAGGGCUGAGAUUUUGACAGUGCAACUAAACUCUCUGUGGACGAUGUUUUAGUGUGUAAUUUAAUUACAUAAGCACUCAUCAAGUUUCAGGGGAAAAUGAGCUAGAAUGGAGAAGUUACGCGAUUAUUAGUUUUCACUUAAAGUGAAUAGUAACUCGGUUUUUCGGUGAAGCCACGGAGUAGAAUUUGCUUUUGGCGCGUAUUGGACUCCGAUCAAAGGACUCCAAUAGCUCGUUUCGACUGGUUCAGCUAUUCUGGAACUAAUGGCACUGACAGAAUUGGAUUCUGAUGCACGGUUUUCGAGAAAAGGGAGUUUUAUCAAAAAGCAGGUUUUCGCUCUUUGCUAUUCUUGCAUUAUGGAACCCCUCGUGAUCUAUGUAUGUGAUCUGGAGUUGAGUAAAGGCUGUUUCGGGUACCUACUAGUGGUAGGGAAGUCUAAUUCGAAUUCGAAUUUAAGGUUUAUUGGGUUUACACAAUUGUGCUACUGUGGUGUUUGGAUUUUUGGAGAAGAGGAUGGGUUUUGUCGCAAAUCGGCCACCAAGCUUGAUGAAACGAAAUUGUAGUUUUGAUGCUCUCGUUGUGCUGAACGCGAUGGUGCUGUCGGAUUGAAAAUCUGACGGAUGGAUCUCCUAAUAUCGCACGAUUAUCGAGGAAGGGUCACAAGUGGAGAAACGGUAUGUCCGCGAAAACUAUUAUAUUUUAUGUGUCGAUUCGCGCGAGAUUGGAAGUGGAGGUACGUAUUUACAAAACACAUGCGCUGGUUGGGACUUUGAUGAAAAUAUUCAAACAUGGAGGACUUUGGUGCAAAGUGGCAUAUGGUAUAUAAUAUGCCUCUAGGGUUUCUUUGCACAAAACCCUAGAUCCGGCCGACCGAAUCCUCCAGCUAUGCCCUAAAUAGCUUCAGCAGGUCCUUGCCCAACCCAUGCUCGCACCCUGGCCACCGGCAGGUGCUCCGGCCGUCGGAAAAUUGGAACCCGGCCACCCUUCAAGAUAUCUCUGUCCACCUUGCCUCCAUCUCGGCCAGGGAACAACUAAAACCCAUAGGACUCCCCCUCUGGCCGAGACCCGUCUCCAGCAGCAUCGCCGCCGGCCGCCGCCGCCCUUCGAGCAGCCGGCGCAACCUGGGAGAUCCGCGACCACCCACAGUUAGCCCUGACUGGGCACCGGUGAGGUUGUGGCCCGCGAGCCAUCACUGCCAUGGAACGGUCGCGCCGUCCUCCCACCACCUUCUGCGAUCUUCCGCUCGCCGCCUCUCGCCAUCCCCGUGGCUGCCGGCCGCCGGGAGAGCUCUCUGCGGCCGUCCAAAAUGCGUGCGGGCCAUGCAAGGGCCCGUACUAUUUCCGACUGCCACCGCCGCCCACCGUCGGGUGCCUCGCCCUCCCCUCGACCUCCCGCGACGGAUCGGCGUCGCCCCGACCUCCUCCGGCCGCCGCUGCGCCGCCGGGAAGCCUUGAACCCGAGAGCAUGUGAAUGGUUGGAUCUCAGCCACCGCGCCACCGGCCGCCGCCCGCCGCCGGCCAGCACCUGCCUUGGACUCCUCCGACCGGCCGCACCCGUACCCGGCCGAUGCGCCCGCCGCCGGCCGUGCCCUAGCUCCACCCUAUCCGGUAAACUAUUUUCAGCCUGUCUGCGCACUAGUUUUCUGUUUGGAUCACUGUUCCGGCGGCCCGGGGCUGUCCCGAUGCCUCCGGAGGUGAGCACAGUGAUCGUCAGUCAGUGCUGAUCACAAUGCUCACCUCACUUUGCGUCAGUGAGCUUCGGAUGAGUUAAUUAGAGGUGUUUUAGUUUCAGUGCGCGCUGUUUCGCUGAACUUCGUGUCGCUCGUGCGCUUCCCACAGUGGCCGAAAUUGCUCUGAAAGGUGAGCACGGCCUUCGGCACGCCGAGACCUGUCAGCGGGUGUCUCGGCUUGGCCGAAUGAUCCCUGGUUUACGAUGUCGAACUUGAUAAAACUCAUUUUUCUCAAAAACCGUGCAUCAGAAUCUAAUUCUGUCAGUGCCAUUGGUUCCAGAAUAGCUGAACUGUUCGAAACGAGCUAUUGGAGUCCUAUGAUCGGAGUCCAAUACGCGCCAGAAGCAAAUUCUACUCCGUGGCUUCACCGAAAAACCGGGUUAGUAUUCACUUCAAGUGAAAACUAAUAAUCGCAUAACUUCUCCAUUCUAGCUCAUUUUCUCCUGAAACUUGACGAGUGCUUAUGUAAUUAAAUUACACACAUAAACAUCAUUAACAGAGAGUUUAGUUGUACUGUCAAAAUCUCAGUCCUUACAUUAUCCCUCCCUUAAAAGAAGUUUCGUCCCCGAAACUUAACCACAUACCCAUCAUCAUCGAAUAAAACUUUGCUCCACCAAUGUGAUAUCACCCUGGGGUACUAAUCAGUCACAAUUUCCUUGAAUCUGGGCAAAUCAAUCUUCAAUUAAGGGGAGAAUAGAACUGCGGUUACAUUUGGAUGAGACUAACCCAAAAUCUUCGCACAAGCUGGUGUCUCAGUCGGGAGUAGUGGCGGUGUUCCUUUUGGAUAUUGAGUUGUGGGACGGUGUUCCCCAGGUGUUUCCACUCCUGUCAAGUGGGGCCUUGAAGGGCCAGGUGAUCUUCGGCUUAGGCGAGUGUUUUAACUGCCGACGCCCAGGCCACUCUUCCAACUAAGGGCACGAGAGCUACUGCGAGUGUCUCUACGGAGACGGUACAUAGACCAGUUACGGUCACGACUUCAGUGGGGCUACUAGGGUGUAGCCCAGGGUUUGGUUAGCGGUCGUUUAGGCGACUGCAUUGUUAGUGUUGCUUCCGCAGAUCUUUGGGUAGGGUUGUGAGCCUACAUCUCCUCCUUAAUUGCUGAUGAAUUUAGCGAUUUGGGUCUUUUGACCUUGAACUAGUUCUUUUGUCAAAUUGACGUGUACUAGAGUCGGAUUGACACAGUUUUGGUGUCAGGUUUCCGUUGAGGUAUACAACGUAUGUGGUUAUUCUAACACCUAAAUUGGUGUGUUGUGGGUUAGUUUGUAGUUGGUGAUAGGUUUCGUCUUGAUUUAAGAGACUCCAGGUUAUCGUUGGAAUUCUCGGAGCUUUGAUUAUGGUACGGUUGUGGUGCGGAAAUCGGUUAGAGGAACCGUUUCCUAAAGUCUCAGUUUGUGCGGUUCGUGGCUUAGUACCACUAACAGCUUUCGGAUGUUGAAAGUUAUAGGAUUCCCUGUGAGUCGAUUCAGGUUCGUUCUGAUUUCGAAUGUUGACUUGUAAAGUCAAUGUUUCGAUAGUAAUGGUUGUGAACUCUUGGUUCAGCGAAGAAGUAUCAAGUGGCUUGAUACUUUGACGUGUCGUGCUUCCAGCUUGUUGUUGGUAGUAGAUCUUCGGUAUUUCAUUUUCUUUUGAUAAGUACAUUGGCUGCAGACAAUGUACCGUCGAAAGUUUGGAUGAAAUACCUCUCCUAUUUGGGACUCAUGGAUUGGGUCGGUAUUUCCUUUCUCUAGGCUGUCUUGUUGGAAAAGCUAGAGUGAUGGUCAUCUCUGACCAUGUGACGAGCCUUGGGUUAUUCCCUGGCAGGUUUUGCGCAGUUGAUUUAUCGUCACUGCUGAUGAUUUUGACCCUUGUUCGAGUCUAGGUUAGCGUUGGUUUUAUUGUUGUGCCUUCCUCAGCUAAAAGGUUUGGUUAUUUAGUAGUCUCGGUCUGUUUGUCGAGAGGUUCGGAAUCUCAGUUGUUGAGUUACUUGAGCCUGGUUGUCGGCUAUGAUUGUCACCGUAUGUGAUAGCGUUUAGGGUUUGCGACUCGGCGUGUCGUGUAAACCCGGGAUUGGUAUGCUUGUCCGGUUAACUGGUGACAGGUGCGCCUGGGUCUCAAUGAGACAGGUAAUUGGGUGUUGCUGGGAACAUCGAUCGUUAGGGUCCCUUGUAGGACGGCAACGACAGGGUCUCGUAGAGACAGGUGUUGAGCAUCACCGAUGGUUGUUAUCGCAUGUGCGAUUGGCGACCUGUGCAUCAAAGGAUGGACUUGCAAAGAGCUUUUGGUGGUCUGUUGGUACCGGAUUAGGUUUGAGGAGACAAAAUUGUCUAGCUCAAUUGGUAUUGUCGGUUGGAUCUUUUGGUCAGGUGGAAAGUGAGGUCUUGGACCUAGGACUAUAGAUUGUCGCAGGUGACUUUCCGUUGAUGGAGGUUUUGGCAGUUUGUGUGGUUACUGGUGGGAAACUGUGGUCUCCAAGGUGAGAGUUUUGACUCAGAUCUUAGAACAACGUUUUGUGUUCGCUCGUGGUGAGCAGGUUGAUAUUGUUGGCUAGUCGGAGUGUAUCAUCGUGACCUACGAAACCACUCCAGACUUGUGGUGUUGUUCCGUGACUUUUCUACGUGAACAUUCGACGUAGUCGAGUCGGUUACUGCUAUGCAGACCAAGGUUGAGUGGACCUAAAGUUUCUGAGUGGUGAAUUAUUAUCUCAGAAUUGGUAAUUUGGGAUCAUAUAAUCCUGGUCGCGGGACUAUUUUUGUCCGCAGGUUAUAGGAUGGUGUUGAUCCCGAUAGGUCCCGAUCCAUAGAUUUUGGGUUAGUCUCAUCCAAAUGUAACCGCAAUUCUAUUCUCCCCUUAAUUGAAGAUUGAUUUGCCCAGAUUCAAGGAAAUUGUGAUUGAUUAGUACCCCAGGGUGAUAUCACAUUGGUGGAGCAAAGUUUUAUUCGAUGAUGAUGGGUACGUGGUUAAGUUUCGGGGACGAAACUUCUUUUAAGGGAGGGAUAAUGUAAGGACUGAGAUUUUGACAGUGCAACUAAACUCUAUGUUGACGAUGUUUAUGUGUGUAAUUUAAUUACAUAAGCACUCGUCAAGUUUCAGGGGAAAAUGAGCUAGAAUGGAGAAGUUACGCGAUUAUUAGUUUUCACUUAAAGUGAAUAGUAACCUGGUUUUUUGGUGAAGCCACGGAGUAGAAUUUGCUUCUGGUGCAUAUUGGACUCCGAUCAUAGGAUUCCAAUAGCUCGUUUCUACCGGUUCAGCUAUUCUGGAACCAAUGGCACUAACAGAAUUGGAUUUUGAUGCACGGUUUUCGAGAAAAGGGAGUUUUAUCAAAAAGCAGGUUUUCGCUCUUUGCUAUUCUUGCAUUAUGGAACCCCUCGUGAUCUAUGUAUGUGAUCUGGAGUUGAGUAAAGGCUGUUUUGGGUACCUACUAGUGGUAGGGAAGUCUAAUUCGAAUUCGAAUUUAAGGUUUAUUGGGUUUACACAAUUGUGCUAGUGUGGUGUUUGGAUUUUUGGAGAAGAGGUUGGGUUUUGUCGCAAAUCGGCAACCAAACUUGAUGAAACGAAAUUGUAGUUUUGAUGCUCUCGUCGUGUUGAACGCGAUGGUGUGGUCGGAUUGAAAAUCUGACGGACGGAUCUCCUAAUAUCGUACUAUUAUCGAGGAAGGGUCACAAGUGGAGAAACGGUAUAUCCGCGAAAACCAUUAUAUUUUAUGUGUCGAUUCGCGCAAGAUUGGAAGUGGAGGUACGUAUUUGCAAAACACAUGGAGGACUUUGGUGCAAAGUGGCAUAUGGUAUAUAAUAUGCCUCUAGGGUUUCUUUGCACGAAACCCUAGAUCCGGCCGACCUAAUCCUCCAGCUAUGCCCUAAAUAGCUUCAGUAGGUCCUUGCCCAACCCAUGCUCGCACCCCGGCCGCCGGCAGGUGCUCCGGCCGUCGGAAAACUGGAACCCGGCCACCUUUCAAGAUAUCUCUGUCCACCUUGCCUCCAUCUCGGCCAGGGAACAACUGAAACCCAUGGGACUCCCCCUCUGGCCGAGACCCGUCUCCAGCAGCAUCGCCGCCGGCCGCCGCCGCCUGGGAGAUCCGCGGCCACCCUCAGUUAGCCCUGACUAGGCACCCGUGAGGUUGUGGCCCGCAAGCCAUGGCCGCCAUGGAACGAUCGCGCCGUCCUCCCACCACCUUCUGCGAUCUUCCGCUCACCGCCUCUCGCCGUCCCGGCCAUCCCCUUGGCCGCCGGCCGCCGGGAGAGCUCCCUGCGGUCGUCCAAAACGCGUGCGGGCCAUGCAAGGGCCCGUACUGUUUCCGACUGCCACCGCCGCCCACCGUCGGGUGCCUCGCCCUCCCCUCGACCUCCGGCGAUGGAUCAGUGUCGCCCCUACCUCCUCCAGCCGCCGCCGCGCCGCCGGGAAGCCUUGAACCCGAGAGCAUGUGAAUGGUUGGAUCUCAGCCACCGCGCCACCGGCCACCGCCCGCCGGCACCUGCCCUGGACCCCUCCGACCGGCCGCACCCGUACCCGGCCGGUGUGCCUGCCACCGGCCAUGCCCUAGCUCCACCCUGUCCGGUAAACUAUUUUCAGCCUGUCUGCGCACUAGUUUCCUGUUUGGAUCACUGUUCCGGUGACCCAGGGCUGUCCCGAUGCCUCCGGAGGUGAGCAUAGUGAUCGUCAGUCAGUGCUGAUCACAAUGCUCACCUCACUUAGGGUCAGUGAGCUUCGGAUGAGUUAAUUAGAGGUGUUUUAGUUUCAGUGCGCGCUGUUUCGUUGAACUUUGUGUCGCUCGUGCGCUUCCGACAGUGGCCGAAAUUGCUCCGAAAGGUGAGCACGGCCUCCGGCACGCCGAGACCUAUCAGUGGGUGUCUCGGUUUGGCUGAAUGAUCCCUGGUUUACGAUGUCGGACCAUAAAAGUGCCGAAAUCACAUAAAAUAAUGUGAUUUCGGGUAAUCGAGAGGGCUUUUAUGUGUUUUGGGUUGUUGCGGCUGCUGUUGGCAGCAUGGGUGAGCAGUGGGUGACCUCUGGACUGAUUGUCCAAGGCUCCAAACCUUUGCGAAGAUCGAAAAUGCAUUUCCGGCGUGUUUUUCGGCGAAAUCCGCCGACGGAACGUGUGUUCGGUUCGAAAUUCUUCCGACGGUGUCUCGGGAUGAUUAUUAUGUCGCUGAACCUAGUUGGCUGGUCACCCGCGUCAUUUCGAGGGUUCGAAAAUGACGGGUGAGCGACGGUGGGUUCCCAUGUCGAAUUAGACACUUCCGGGAAUCCGGAUCGAAACGAUUAUCCGAUGAUAAUUGUUUCGACGUGAGGAGUUGUGUUUGCUGCCAUGAUGUACGAUUAUUUAUGUUUAGUGGUAGCGGGUGACUCGUAGUGAUAGUCGGUGCAUUCCGGGACAGUUCGUGGGUCCCGACGGAGUUCCGGUGUGAUUUUCGGGACUUCCGGCGAGUUACGGUAGUCGGUAUUGGGAAACCGAUCUCCGUGGAUUUGUUUGUGGGUUGUGGAUUUAGUGAUUAUUAGUUAUGGGUUAGGCACUAACCCGGUGGACCUUCCUUAGGUCCAGUUGACAUUCUUUUGCAGUCAGGAGACAGGCGCGACAUCCUUACAGGUGGGUACUUCGAUCCGACGUUGGUACAGUGGUGCACGCUCGGUGAUGGUUUCUUACCCUUGCUCUUUUGCUAUUAUCCAUGCAUAUACUAUAUGUUGAGCUUUGCACCUCUAUUGUUCCAUUAUACUCUACUCAUAUGUUUCUAUGCUUAGUAUCAUGUGUAGGAGUAGAGUAGUUUAUCGAUAUGUGAUACCUAUGACUUGGUUGGUCAGUUCUUGUAUCUCGUUUUUGUGACCUAUUCGGUCGUUUCCUUGACUUCUGUCAUUCGAUGACCAUUGAGGUCGGUGUACCCUGAGGGGUUGGAUUGUCAGCUAGUGGCCGACGGUAGUUCUGGAUUCUAUUAAUACACUCUGGUGACCUAUUCAUCGUUUCGUCAUGCAUAUAUGUUAGUUGACUUGAGUAGUCAGUACUUGUAUACCUUCGGUAGGAUAUUGAGUUGUUCCAUUCUAGUUGACCUGGUUGGUCGGUUCUCCUAUGUGGUAUCCGUGACCUGGUUGGUCGAUUCUUGUACUUCGUAUUAGUGACCUGGUUUGUCGAUUCUCGUACUUCGUGUCAGUGACCUGGUCGGUCGGUUCUUGCAUCUACAGUUUAGUUGACCCUUCAGCAGUAUUUGCAUACUUCUGAGAGGAUGUUGAGUUGGUCCAUCCUAGUUGACCUGCGUGGUCAGUUCUUGUUCUUCCUUACAGUUGAUGACCUAUACGGUCGAUGAGCCCUGUGGGCGGGAUUGUCGGCUGGUUGCCGAUGGUUGAUCAUUGAGCAUAUUGCAUUGAUCGCCUGAUACUCGUCGCAUUUCACGAACACCGGCAGUCUGAUCCACCGCAAGGGGUGUUCUUUUCCGGAAAAGUGAUUGCAGAUGCCAACCCGUGAGUCCUAGAGGGGUUAUAUGCAUGUUAGAGCGGCAGUGGUACUAUCGGGAGGUCUCCGGUGUGAACCUCCAGGGCACAGGCUUGAGGUUUGCGGUGCGGACUAAUAGAGCAGCAGAUUUCAGAUUGGGUAUAUUUGGACUUCUUGUCCGGUUGACGAAUAUAGCUAUAGUAGCGGUUGUUGUUUCUAUACCUUCAGUUCUUUCGUUACACUGUCUUGCUACUAUAGUUUUGUUGCAUGUAUACUUUCAGUUGUUCAUUACAGUAGCGGUAGUUGUACUUUUAUAUAUAUAUCUAUCUCUUUCGUUCAUUAUUGUUGCUACUGUAUUUAGUAUACCUGCUCAUGAUCUUAUAUUUCCACUGACCCGUAUUGUUGUUUAGCUCUUCCUGAUCCGGUGAGUACUUCUCGCCUUCAUCGGCUUGCGGUACCCACUGGGAGGGAAGACAUGUUUACAUGUUCUCACCUCUCCCACCAUUUUUGAGGUAUCGCGGACGGUGAGAGUUGCGACGAGACGUGAGACACGUUCGUAGUGGUCGCUAGAGCUUCCGACCCGGUUUGUUGGUUUAGUUCCUACCCUGUUUACUUUGUUAUUAAUAGCUUUAAUAUUUUUUGGUUCAGUUGGUUUAUGUUAGUUGAAUACAUGUGGUUUUAAAUGAACUAUAGAACUUGUGGGUUUUCUGAAAAGGAAAAAUGGUUUUCUACCCCUCGUGGUAACGUUUUUAAAAGAUAAAAGUUUUCGUGUAGGGAACAGUUUUUAAAAGAUUUUCUGUGGAUUUAUGUUUAGACAUUGAAUAUAAAUCUGUGAUGUGAAUGGUGAAUGUAUGAAUAUUUAGUUGUUUAUAUAUAUUCAUUUAGUUGUGGUUGUAUCCUGGUGUACAUGUUAUACUUCUUGUACUUGUGCAACGCCGUGCAAAUACAGGGGAGACUCUGUCCUAGUGAACAGUGGAUUCUCUGGAUUUGUGGCAGAUCUAGCAUACCCUGGGGUCAGGUUUUCAAAAAAAAAAAAAAAAAGACGCAUUUCCGCUGUUUUUCAAACUAAAAGGGACCCCGGUACGUGACAGUGACAAAACUCAAAAAUACAUCAAAAUACUCACAACACUCAACUCUUCAAAAGCCGAAAAUCGAAAUUCAUUGCCAUCACCAAAACAAUGAACUUCUCGUGUGAAAGAUCCAAAGAAAAUACAAAAUUACAAUUUUGCAACUCCUAAACAAACUCUAUGACUUAGGCACAAGGAGUCUUGAUGUCUUCAAAAAUCUGCAAAAAUAUUAUUCUUUCCAACGAACAAAGUUAGUAAUAAACAAAGUUAAAAAUAUCUCCCAUUUUGUUCAUGCGUCGAAGUUAAAAAUAUCUUCCCCUUUCAAAAACUCUGUAAUGGGCUGAAAUUUGAUUACAAGCUAAUUGUGAUCAAAGUGAUCACAAUAAUGCUAAAAUGGAAAUUAAGCAUUUCUAAACUUAAUUAGAGGUUUGAGAGCAGCAAUUCAAAUGUUUUGGAAGUGUGGGAAUAGACACGAAUGGAAUCGAAGUGGUUAAAGACCUCCAAUUGCCAUUGCUUCUCUUAUGCUGAAAUUUUAGUUAACUUAGUAAAAAAUGAUCAAGUUAAUGCAAAUUUGAGAAUUAAAUGUUAUCAAAUUAAUUUGGCAGCUUGGGAAGUUCAUUUGGUAUGUUUUGGAAGUGCUCGAAGUGAAUUGGAAGUGUCAGAAACCUCCAAUCACUGCUGCUAUCAAGUAAUGCUGAAAUUCCUAGUUAAUGUUGAUCAAAAUGAUCAACAUGAUGCCAAAUUGGAAAUUAAUUGCUUCCAAAUUAAUUUGACAACUUGUAGAGGUAUAUUAGUGUAAUUUGGAAGUGCUUGAGUGGACUUGAAGUGAGUUGGAUGGGCAAAAUAAGCUUCAAAGUGCUGCUGCAUCUAGUUGUUUAGUGCAGGGACUGAAUUCUAAGCUUCAGGGACUGAAAUGUAAAUCUGAAGGCUGCAAUGCCCUUUUGCUGAAAUUGAGGGUUAAGUUGCAAAUUUUCAUCUUUAUCACUUAAUCCCAGCUGAGUUGCAUGUGUGUACGUGUCCACUGCCCUUUUUCCAUCACUUCUUUCAUUCUUUUUCUUCUUCUUCUCUCUUUAGGCUGAUGGAAACCAAGAAAGAGUUGAGGAGUUUGAUGUUGGCAGCUUGGAGGACUUGUGGGCUGAGAAGAAGUCUGAACCAAGCUUAUAAUUUCUGAUGUUGAAGUUGUUGGGCAACCUGAAAUAGCACCUAAUUAAGGUAAUUGGUUCUAGUAACUGAUUAGUAUCAAGCUAAUUACCUUAGAAAGGAUGCUUACAUGGAAUCCUUGCUACUAGUGUUAGCUAUUCUGGAAUUUCAAGCCGAAUUCAUGUUGCUGCUGCUGUCGAAAUGAAGAGAGGGCCAAUUGAUGCAUGGAACAAGUUGAUUCAGCAUCAGGUUAGCGUAAGUUUAUUCCUUAUUGGAUCAUAGUCCAAUUAAUUGCUUUAAAAUGGAUCAAGUUAAGAACUAUGUGCUGAAAUUUCAGACUUGAAGCUGAAUUGUUGAGUUGUUGAAGCUAAGAUCACCCUGGUUGAAUACCUAAUUAAGGUAAACUGGUUCUAAUAUCUAAUUGUAGACAAGUUAGUUGCAUUAAAGAUGAUCCACAUAAGAGUAAUUGCUGCCAGGGUUUUGAUAUUGGACUGAUUGCAGCAAAGAACAAGUCUGGUUCAACCUUGAAGUGAAAGCUUGAGUAUUCUAUAGUGUCACCUAAAUAGCUUGGNUCGAGCUACAGAAAAUCUGAGAGAAGCUUGAAUCCUGGUAAAUGAUGCUAAAUACCUUAGUAGAAUAUGAUUACUUGUGUAGAAUUCAGGAUUAGUUAUUGCUGAAAACUGUGAAGCUCAAAUGCUGAAUUUCAGCAUUUGAGAUCCUGGAUGUUAAGGCUGAGAAGGAACCAGUUCAAUAGCAAAUCGAGAUAAAUUGCGCUUAGAACUCAAUUAGUUGUAAUUGAGAGAUGUUAAUUAAGAAUCUGAUGGAUAAUAAAGCUAAUAUAAAUGCAAAACUGUAUUGAUGAGUUCCUAUUUGGAACACUGUGAUUGUAACUUACACUAUACAUAAAUAUAUAGAUGUUUAUAUAUCUAUAUAUGUAAGUGGGAGUUAAGAUGCUAACUUGUAAAAUAUGAGAAUAAGGCUCUAGUUUAAUCUCUUUUAAUCCUUGAUAAAUGAAAGUUAAUCAUGCUCGAAAGUCUAAAUUGACUUUCCGACAGGUCGACGACACACUAGUUACGGUACAGACCGUUCUAGUUCUAUUUACACCGAGUCGCGAGAGCUAGUUGUCGACGCAUUUUGAGACGUGGAUUCUAGUUGUUUACAACACUACAGGUGGGUGGUACUAUCCGAAGUCUUUGAAUCACCUUUUAUGUCUAUGAUUAUUCAUUGAGCAUAAUUAUAUUUGUAGUCAUGUAUUAUAGGGUGUUCGGCAUUGUGCAAGUGAAAAUAUAAAUUCCUAUCAACAAUGAGAACUUGUGAACCUUAGAAUGUGGACAUAGAACCCUAUGAAUGCAUGGACUAUAACAAUAGUGAACUUGGUGACAUUCUAACUAGAGAAUUGGAUAGCAUUGAGAAAUAAAACAGUGAAACUAGCAAAAAGAGCUAGUUAGAGUUAAAGUGUGACAUGGCUAUUAUUGAAUCCUCUAAAGGAGGAUCAGAUCUUACUCACAUAGUCUGUUUUUAGCUUGGUGGUUGUCGCUCCCCCCAGGCAGUGCGCUCCGGAGUGGUCACUUGAUGGGUUAAAGAAUUUGCCCUUGAACUAAAGUAUCUGUUCUACAGACGGUCCCGUCGGGAGGCAGCUUAGGGCCCGCCAGGGAUUGAGUUAGUGAG